rnacentral:lncRNA from 1 species
UUUUUUUUUUUUUUUUAUAUUGAGAAAGUGGGGAGUGGGGGUGGGGUGGAGGGUAGGGAAGGGAUGGAGGUUGAGGUAAAAGUUUUUAUUUCUAAAAAAAAAAAGAAAUUAACUUUUUAAAACAAUAUAUUCUUUUGGGGAUGCAGUAUUUUCAUAUAGGGGGAGGGGGGAGAUGGGAGUUGCAGUAAGAUUUUUUUUAUAAAAAAAUAUUAUUUAUUUAUUUAUUAAAAAUAUUUCUAAAAGAAAAUAUGUUUUGGGGUGGGGUAGGAAAUGCGGAGAGGGGGGAUUUUGAUCGUGAGGUAAGAAAGGAUUUUUAAUUUUUUUCAAAAAAAUUAAAAUUAUUUUUUGUGGUGGAGGUGGGAGUGAGGUUCGAAAUACGAAGGGGGAUAAGGGUAUGACAAAAGUUAUAAUUUUUUUUAAGAAAUAAACAUAAUAUAUUUAAUAAAGGUGGGGUGGGUGGGGUAAGCUGAGGGUGAGGUGGGGUAAGAUGAGGUAGGUGAUUUUGAGAGUGGGAGGACACAUUAUCGCUUCAUUUUUCUACUUUUAUUAAGAUAAAAUUACAGAAAAUAACAUACUUAGGAUUAUAAUUACAAUAAAUAUCAACACUUUUGCAAAAUUACAAUUUAUAGCAAGAGUAACAUUAUUUUGCCCAUUAACUAGACAAAAACAUGUUUUACUCUCACUACUUUAUCUUUUUCUAUUUUCACUUCACUAUUUCACUUCCCCCAAUAUAGCCGUAUAUUCUACCCUUUUUUUUCAUCUUAUUUUUUUUAUUAUUUUAUUUUUUAUUUUUUUUCUUUUCACUUUAUUUGUUCUCUUCUAUUUCUCUUUUUUUUUUCUUUUUCGUUUUCUUUUUUUUCCUUUCUCAUAUUUGAAGAUAAUUAUCUUCAUGAUCUUCAAAAUUUCAAAAUAAAACACAUUGUUGUUUUUUUUCUCUCUUUCACUCCCUUAUAUCUCUAACUUUUUUCUUGUUAGUUUUUUUUUCAUCUUAUUAUUUUUAUUUUGAUUUCUUUUUCUUUUUUUCUUUUUUUCUUUUUUCUUUCCACUUUAUUUUCUCUCUUCUAUUUCUCUUUUUUUAUUUUUAUUUUUUUCUUUUUCGUUUUCUUCUUCUUUUUUAUAUUUUUUUUUGUUUCUUUUUUUCCUUUUUUACACUUCUAUUUCUAACUUCUAUUUCUCUUUCUUCUUUUUUUUUUUUCCUUUUUCACUUUUUUUUUCGUUUUCUACUUUUGUUUUUUUUUUUUUUGUUUUUUUUACUCUUCUAUCUCUAACUUUUAUUUUUAAAAGACAAAUUUGUAUAUCACAUACACAUAUUCAAAAAUAUACAAAAUACAUAGCCAUACAAAUUUGGAUAUGUAUUUACAGUACAAAGCAUACAUAUGUAUUUACAAAAAUACAUAUCUCACUCAUAUGUAUAUAUAAACAUAUAGGACACAAUCUCUAUAACAAAAAGGACAACUAUAAACAUAUACAUAUAGGUAAUCAAAAAAUACAUGAUACAUAUCUUAAACAGUAAAAAAUAUAAAUAAAUACAUAUGUUACCAUCUAGAAUGACAUAAAAUAGUUCAAAGACAAAUCCAACGCCGUACAAAAAUACAUAUAGAUAUGCAUUUAUAUAUACAAAACACAAAUACAUGCACAUGCCCCAAAAAAAUUAAUACAUUUGUGACAUAAUACAUCUGCCUAAUUGCGCUUGAGCUACACAUUUCUUCUUGUUCAUGUAGAUACCACAAAUAUUCUUAUGACAAAAAACCGUGUACUGCUCUUUUGAUAACAUCGUCUUAAUACGUUCUUCAAUAUCAUUGACCAUGUGACAUCCUAUUUGUGGUGCAAACCUUGGAAGUACUCUUGCCAUGGAUAUAUGAUCACACAAAACCUAUAGAACAAAAUAACGACAUAAAUCUAUAUUACAUGUACUUUUCACAAAAAUAUAAUACAAAAUCCAUAGUAUGCAUAUGUUUUCUUUUACAUAAUAUAUUUUGCAUUACAAAAAAAAUACAUAUAACUCUGCGUAUGUAUUUAUAUAAUACAUGUCUGAUCCAUAUGUAUAUUACUAUACAAAAAAUAUAAAUAUGACUCUGAUAUGUAUUUACAAAAUACAUAUCAUAUUCAUAUUAAACAAUAACAAACAUAAAUAUACUAUAUAUCUUCAUAUAUAUUUGCGAAAUGCAACGGUGACUCAUAUAAAACAAGAAUAUAUAUAUAUAUAUAUAUAUGGAUCAGGUAUGUAUUCUGUAAAUACAUAUGCAGAAAUAUAUGUAUUUUGUACGGUGUUGAAUUUGUCUUUGAACUAUUCUAGGUCAUUUUAGAGGGUAACAUAUGUACUUAUUUGUAUUUUUUACUGUUUAAUAUAUGUAUUAUAUAUCUUUUGAUUACCUAUAUGUAUAUAUGUUGAGUUGUCCUUUUUGUAUAUACAAAUGCAUAUUCAUAUGUAUUUUUUGUACGGUGUUCGAUUUGUCUUUGAAUUAUUCCAUGUCAUUUUAGAGGGUCACAUAUAUACUUUUAUUUUUUUUUACUAUUUAAAAUAUGUAUUAUCUAUUUUUUGGUUACCUAUAUGUAUAUGUAUAUAAUUGUCCUUUUUGUUAUAGAGAUUUUGUGUCCUAUAUGCUUAUAUAUACAUAUGAGUCAGAUAUGUAUCUAUAAUAUAUUAAAAGGGUGAAGACCCUUAGAAAAGCGAUUUAAAUUUUUUGCCCUUCAUUAAAAGUUUAUGUAGUAGAUAAAAUUAUCUUUUCACUUAUUUUUUCUAAUUAUUAUAUCAUUAUAUUUAUAUAUUUAACACGAUUCCUAUAAUAUAUGUUAAGAAAAAAAAUGAAAAAUUAAUAUUGAUAGAUUUUGUCUCCUUGUGUACUUGAAAAAGAAGUCUUAAAAUAUAGAGGGGGAACAUGCAUAAUAAAAUGCACGGUUGUACACCAAAAAACAAAAAAUAAUAGUCUAGAUAAAAGAAAAAAAAAGAUUUAAAUCUAAUAAAAACUUGAAAGUUGGCCUAAAAACAAAAAAAAAAGGAAAAUAAUCUUAACAUGCGUGAAAAAAUCCUGACUUUUUAAAAUUUUAAGCGAAUUUUGUUUAUCUUUUGAAUCACUUUAACAUUAGGGUUCUUUAAUUAAUUAAUUAAUGAUAUUUAUCUUUCUUUAUUUAUGUUUAGAUGUUUUUCUCCAAAAUUACCACAUGUAGAGAAAAAAAUAGGUUUAGAUAUAGAAUUUUCUUAUUAAUGUAUAUAUAUUUUCAUGAUUUGAGGUAAGCUUUUAAAAUUUUAGUAUAUUUUUGAAAUUUAUAAUAAAUAAAUUAUCUUGUAUUCUUGAUAAACAGUUGUUCAUUGAAAGUUUUUCUUUUCUUUUGUGAAAUCUCGAUCUAUCUUAUGAUCGAAGGGACAAAUUUGCUUGUAAUGCGAGGCAAGUUUUCUAAUGUUUUAGCAUGCUUUUUAUAUUUACAAUCUUGACAGUAAAUGCAAUUAAAGAGAUAAAUUUGCUUGUUAUUUGAGGUAAGUUUUCUAAAACUUUAAUAUGUUCUUAAAAUUUAUAAAAUAAAUUAUCAUGUAUUUUUGAUAGACAAUUGCUGUUUGAGAAGAACUUUUUUUAUGUGAAUUUUUUUAUGUAUUUUAUAACUGAAGAGAUAAAUUGCUUGAGAUUUGAGGUAAAUUUUCUAAAAUUUUUAUAUGGUCUUGAUGUUUAAAAUCUUGAUAGUAUCUAUGGUUAAAUAGAUAAAUUUUAUCGUCGUUAAUUUACAGUAAGUUUUCUAGAAUUUUAAUAUGUUCUUGAAGCUUACAAUAAAUAAAUUAUAACAUAUUCUUGAUAGACAAUUGCUAAUUGAAAAGUUUUUUGUGUGUGUAUGAAAUAUUGAUAGAUGAUCCAUUGAAGAGAUAAAUUUGCUUGUGCUUUAAGGUACGUUUUCUUAGAUUUUAAAAAUUGUCAUAGGGGUUUUAAAAAAAAUAAAAGAAAAUAUUGAAUAUUGGCAUAGGAAUAAGUAUGAUACUAGGGUUCAAUUUUUUAAUUGGUUAAUUUAUCUAUAAACCUUUUCUUCAAGGGAUUAGACCUAUAGAUAAAGAGAACAAUAAAAUCAGUUGAUUUGCAUGCAUUCCUACUUUAUUUGAAAGAAUUGAAUAAUUAAUGAUCUCUCUUUUUUAUUUCAUGGUGAGUUAUUUUAUAAUUUUUCAUUACAUCAUAUAUGGUCCGUUUUUGUACUACAUCUACGUUUAGUUAUCUUUUUGCAUUCAUUUAUCAUCUUUUUAUCCUUUCGUUAUUUCAUCCAGUUAAUCGCAUUAAAGAUUAUAUAUGAAUUAUACAAAAUUAAUACUUGAUUUGUAUGAAGCAUGAUCUUUAAUUUUAUACAACGGACAAUGACAUAUUUGAUAUACAAUUUUAUUUACAUCAUUUGAAUAUACAUAAAUUUGUUUUAGCAUUAUUGCUCUUUUUAUUUUUUUUUAAUCAUAAUUUUAUUUAUUGAUUCAAGUAACACGUGCAAAGUACAUAAACUAAACUAGUUUCUGUAAAUACAUAUGCAGAUAUAUUGUUGACACCAAAUUUUUGCUCUCCACAACUACGUUUAAUCUCUAGUUUCUUCGAUUUUCAAAUAAAAUCACAACAAUUAUUUUUUCCAAAUAAACGCAUUUUUAAAAUAUGCAUUUGGGUUAAAUUUGUCAUUUAAGUGAUAAUUAUAUAUUUUCGUAUUUGAAUAUACGGGAUUGUAUAAAUGAUGUCAUUUAAAUGAACAUUUUCAUCAAAAUUGGACUUCAAAUUAAGGAUUAUUUGGAAAAUAAAUAUAAAUGAUUAAAUCUUGAUUUAAAUAUAAUUUAUUCUAAAAAAUAAUUUAUUUGGAUAAAUAUGCAUUUAAUUUUAUCAAAUCAAGAACUCCGGGAUUAAGCAAGGUGCUAAUUUGUAUCGAAUUUCGAUUCGAUUUAGUCAAUUUAUUAAAUUUGACGCUAAUUGAAACCAAAUUGGCCUCAAUUGUAAUACAAUUGACCAAUUAGUAUUCAAUUUGGCUAGAAUUUAAAUUUAAUUGCCUAAAUUGUAAUCCAAAAUCAGAAUCCUAAUUCUCGAAACCCUUCUACUCAGGUGACCCAAACUAAAGCCCAUCCACCAGUAGCCCAUUUGUUUUCUACCCAAAACAGCCCAAACAAUAAUAGACUCAGCCGACCCAAUUAUUGUCUUGGGCUCAUUUAUAUAUUCAAUUUUAAUGGCCCAACUCCAAUUUAAAAUCAGCACCCACCAUUUGAAACUUGACCCAACCCACCAUCAACAAAUCCCCCUUAUACUCCUCAUCAUCAGCAACAUCAACAAAAAAUGGCAAUAUCAAAACAAAUGUAGCAAUCCCAAAUCGCGUCAACAUCACAAUCUAACAACAAACGGCUCUGAAUCACGAUAACAACAUCAUGAACCAUCAAUCCGUGUCCAACGAUGAUACCCGACCCCAUCCCGUUCCUUUUUCACUGUCGUCAUGCGUUUCACGCAUUCAUAGGACGGGAAACUCCUUGAACGUUCUAGAACAUCCUAAUCUUCUAGAAGAUCGAUGAGGUGUCUCCCCCAACGUCCAUAAUCCGCGAAUCUUGUGAUGAACGUACAAAUUUGGUACAUAUUUGGUGAUUUUUCAUCGGAUCUAGGGAAGAAUUCGUUUCUCCCAUUUUCUAUUGGUCCACUAACCCAAAAUUGAUACCGAUGGGGGAUGAAAUCCAGGCUGUAGAGGGGGUUCCAGUUUGAAUUUCAAAAUGGGUCCUUCUUUCAAAUCCCUAAUGGACCCCUAAUGGGGUCUUCUAUAUAAGGUUCAUCGUGUCACUGUUGGUUGGAAGAAAAAAAGGGGUCGAAAAUUUGGGGGCUUCUUCUCUUUUUUGGAUAGGGAAAAUCAGGUGGUGUUCGAAAAUUUUGGGAGGUUCAGAAAUUUUUCUUUCUUUUCUUUAAAGGGUUUGAAAGUUUAGGUUGAAAACUGGAGGUUUUGAAAUUUUUUAAGUUCAAAGUUGAAAGUGGUUUUCAAAAUCUCUAAGAGGAAAAAGCAAAGAGACGCUCUGUUGGUAGUCGACGUUGCGAGAUUCCGAUAACGAUAAGUUUAUUGAUAGCUCAUCAUCCCGUUUGCUGCCCCUAAGGAGGUAAACACAUUUUUGCCCUUUUAAUUUCAUUAUUUUCUCCUUCAUCUCCAUCUCUCCAUAGAAUUAUCUAUCUGUGAAGUAUUAAUUGUGAAUGAGGCUGGGACUUUUUUUGAUAUAGAUGGCCUUGACGGCCUUAGGAUUGUUUGGUAAUCGUCUAUUAGUGGAAUUAGUAGACAUGUCGUGAGUUUCACAAUCGCCUACUUCGAUUAUCGUCUCAUGAACGAUAGCGAUGCGGGUUAUCUGCCAAUGUGUUGCUUGAAUGAAUAAAUUUUAGUAUUUUAUAGUUUUCAAUUUGGCUUUGAUGAAGAGUGUUGUUUUUCCUAUUACUUAUCGACCUGAGGAGAUAUGUUGGGGUAUGUUUGUUGUGUAUUGGGUGUAAUUCAUGCUAUAAUGUUCAGGGCUUUGUUUGAAACAAAUGCGGGCAUCACUUCAAAUUGCUUUAUGUUUGAAUCUUUAGCUGACCAUAUGACUACGAUUUAUAUAUUGUUCUAAUACGUGAACACUUAUGCUUCUCUGUACUUAGGCCAGCUAAAAUGUUUACUUUUAGUUCUCAGACGUUAUUGCAUAUUCUAGUUGUUUGUAUUAUAUAUUAGAUGAUUAAGGAGAGUUACGUCAUGUCUGUGAAUACCUCUAAAUCUCAUGCUAGUGUUUCUAUUUCUGAAGGAUAGAGUAAUUUGUAUGAUAGUUUAAAACAACAUAUUAGGCAUGUUCUGACACUACGUGCUAUCUGACUUCCUGUGUGAGCUUAUCCGAUAAGAUAUUAAUUUUUUGCUUAAGUUGUUUCACUAUCAAGUUGCAUAUCCAAUAAUGCAUUUGAGAUUGUGAUGCGUAAUACACGUUCUAUGUGGCUGCAUAUAACUCUAGGCCAAUUAAAACUGAUGUAAUAUGUUCAUAUUUUGAUUGUGUGCAACUCUAACUGACUUUCGACUCUUGGACGCUUGGUAUGAUUGAUUUUAUAAAAUGCAAGAAGCGGGUUCCUGGUUGUCUUUUACCUUAAAGUUGCUAUUUGAAUGUUUAUGAUUUUGUGUUCUGCCUUCCAGCUUGCAAUUAUGGUGUAGUUGUUGGAUGCUACAAGUAGUGAAAAUUUGUAUUUCUUUUGUCAUGGAUUGAUUUACCUUCGAAUGCGUGAAUAUUCCUACUUAGUCUCAACGUUCUAGCAUAGUAUUCCCUUCCAAUUCAUGUCCCCUUUAUUGUUUCUAUAGGAUGUCCUCCAGUGCAUGAAAAAAGAAAAUAGGAGUUAUUUGGGUCCUUUUACAUGGAUUAUUAUUCAAACUUUGCCAAGGAAGUAUCACAUAUGUUUAAUAUUGCUUUCUAAAAGUUUAACUCCUUGAUUAUCUAGUUAUUUGAUUCUUCUAUUGCACUGUUGCAUUCUUACUUGGUUUAUUGCUAUCUUUUUUUCUUAGUCUAUUCUUCUUUUUAGCAAGUUUUCUUGUUCUAAAAAAGAUUGGUUUGUUUCCUGCCUUGAUAGACUUUCAUAGUAUCCCACUGUAAAAUUAUUUGGCCAUUUUCGAUGUUAUGCCUGUUAAUUUUCUUACUUGUGAUAUUCUAAGUUUCUUCUUUACAACUAUUGAUAUUGUAGUACAUGAUCGUAAUGUUGUAUUAAUUUAUGAGGUAGCUAUACAUAUUUCGAACAUGUUUUAAUCUGUUUUCUCUUCCUUACAUGGCAUGUGAAUUUGCUUUGGAGUCCACAAUGGACCUCCCCUGCCGUUGCAUUUUUUAAGGGGCCAAUGAGGCCUAUAUCCAAAAUUAAAGGUCGAUCGUAUGGCGUAUCAAUGCAAGAAGAAUGGGUUAAAAUCCUAUCGUCGAAGUAGCCAAAAGACUUGAAAUUCUCGGCCUUCCGUUCCAUUUAUUUAUUCAUUUAUUAUUAUUAUCCUUAUUUAUUUAGUUGUUUAUUUUAUUCAUUUGGGCCCCGAAACCAAGGUUCUAAAUCCAAUAUAGGUGGAGCGAGACUCGAGUCGAUGACUCAAAAAUUAGACUAGGAUAGGUGAAAUGGGUCCAAGGCCCAAUUAGACUAGAACAGGUUUAUUGAUUUGGGUCCAAGGACUUAAAUCCCUUACUUCCCCUUUCCCCCUCUUCCUCAUGCUUUAUGUGUUUUGCGAACCUAGUUAAUUCCUUAGUCAAGUCGCUAAAAAACUAGUUUUGCUUAAACACCAAAAUAUUUCUAAAUUGCUUUUUUUUUUUGAAAAAUGAACUUUUUUUCAAAGUUUAUCAAAGAUGUUUUCAAACAGUUCGGAUGACUGCAAGUUAGCAGACGUUUUUGGUGCCUAACACCUUCCUAAAACGUUAAUAGGAACCACUUAACCAGAAUCUCUAACUUAAAACGAUUUUACUAUUUUGAAUCAUUUGAACUAUUUAUAAAGGUUUCUUAAUUCCUUUUCAAACUUAAGUGGCGACUCUUAAAAAGUUAAAAUUUCACCGUAAAAUAGAAAUGGCGACUCUGCUGGGGAUCUUUAACUAGGUUCUAACCAAAUGAUUGUUUUAUUCUUUUGAUUAACUGUUUAUGUGUUCCGAUUAUGUAAAGUUUAAUUAUCGCAUCUCAUGGCAUAUUACUGCGUCUUAUAAACUGUUUUGGGGUUUCGUGGAUGCCCCGGCCCCUGUUGUUCAAUUCCAAAAUAUGUUGGAAAUACGAACAGCUUAUCAGCACGUGAGUCGUCUGACGUUGUUCGUAUUUUCAAACUCAAGUUGUCCGCUUGAGAACUAAUGUUCAAACCCACUCUAGACACCUAGGAUAGAACGAAAUCAAAACCCUAUUUUAGGCAUGAGCCUAGGACGACCCAAUACCCGAGCGGGGUAUUGGGCCCAUUAGAAUACCUACCCUACGUUUAUUGACCUCGAGUUAAUUAUAGACGAACCAUAUUUAUAUGUUGAAGAAAAUUUAUGCCUGUCUAAUUCAAUCGAUUAUCCUUUGGGGGUCGGGAAAAAGCUUGAUUUGCUUACUUUCGUAAGAAGAAUUGAAGCAAGUUAAGCAAAAAAUUGAUCGAUUUGGGAGGUUACAUCUAAGGCACAAUUUGAGUGCCGACGGAUGUCACCAAUAUGAGAAAUGGACAAAGCUAAGAAGGCAAAGGCAGACGAAGGAGCCUCCAGUAGAACUUAUCCUUUUUCAUGUUAUUUCCCAUUUCCCCAAAGAUUGUAUCCCUCUUUUGUUAUCGUUUGUAUGCAUUUAUGCCCGUUUCAUGUCUAUAUAAGUUGGGGGAUAAUGGAUUGACUUUAGGGAAGCAUAUACUUUCUUCAAAGAUCAUUAGGCCUGAACCCUUGGCUAAAAAAGGGUCACCCCAGUUAGGAUACGCAUUAUUAUAAUGUUUUGUGUGCUUGUGGUGUUUGUUUGGAUCAAAGGCAAGUUUAUCCGCUAUGCUCCUAUGGAUGAAUUUGUCUAGGACUCAAACAAUUCUAUAUGGUUAUUUUCUGUCAAAUAUUUUGCAUUACUUAUCAGAUAUGGAAACUAACACAUCUGCCUUUGAGUUGUUUUACUUUAUAGAUAAUAGAAAUUACUCCAUGUUGAUAUAAGCUGGCAGAACACACCCACUUCACCCGAUCGAAAGCGCACAAAAUCUCAUCCCCUGACCAUCAUUCAAAAAUGACAGGAAAUGAUGAGGAAAGCGCCCUGACUAUUCGGGACAAUGUGAUAGUGGAACAGAAUGAGAUGAUUGUGGAACUUGCAAGAAAGUUAGAGAUGCUUCAGGAAGAAGUAAAUCGCACUCGGGAUUUGGCUAACUUGGCCAUCACCGUCAAUGCCCCCGCUCCAUAGGGACAUGGGACUCCACUCCAAUUCCCUCCCCUCAGCACACCUAUUCUUAGGGAUCAGCCGAAUAACGUAUCAUUCGUCUCCGCUCCUCCAUUUUUCCAAAAUACUAAUCAUGAAAAUAAUCCAGACGUCUACCAUCCAUAAAAUCCAUCCGUAACCCCACAGAACCCACCUUCGAAUCCAUUCCCAAAUCCUCAAAAUACAUUCUCAAAUCAACAAAACGCAUUUCCAAAUCAGUAAGAUUUACUCCUAAAUCCACAAAAUACGGCAAACCUACCUUCGAAUCCACUAAAUUCAUUUCCAAAUCCAUAAAAUCCCUCUCAUAUUCCGCUAAAAAACUUACAAAGCCCACAUAACCUUCCCAAUUUCCAAAACGCUCUCCCCACUUACCAACCAAAUUCCAUCCAUCCGUAAAAUCAAGCCUUCCUUCCAACUCCCCCUCAAGCCAUCAUAUCCCCUGAUAUUUAUGAACCCCUUCCUAACCCCGAGAUGGACUAUUACAAGGAUAAGGAGAAAGAAUGGAGGGCCCAACAUAAAAGGAAUUUACUAGCCAUUCAAGAAGAGAUCAUGAGGAUCAAAGAGUCUCACGGGGCCAAGGACCAUGACGGUUUGGGGUAUGACGAUUUAUGUGUUCACCCAGGAGUAGACCUACCAGAAGGAUACAAGGUCCCUAAGUUUGAGAUGUUUGACGGUACCGAAAAUCCAAUGGCCCAUCUAAGAAGGUACUGCAAGCAACUAGUAGGGAUAGGGAAAAAUGAGGCGUUAUUAAUGCGCCUAUUUAGUCGAAGUUUAAAUGGUGAAGCCUUGGAGUGGUUCAUGUCUCAGAAUCCGAAAAGGUGAACUGGUUGGAAAACAUUGGCCAAGAGUUUCCUUGGCCGGUUCGCAUUCAACAUUGAAAUAGUCCCUGAUCGGUAUUCACUAGAUCGGAUUAAACAAAAGAGCGUUGAGAGUUUUCAAGAUUAUGCUUUUCGUUGAAGGAAAGAAGCUGCCAAAGUGCAGCCCCCAUGUCCGAGGAGGAAAUGGUAUCCGUGUUCUCUCACGUUCAAGAAGGAGAAUAUUAUACCAGGAUGGUGUCCGCUGUCAGAGCGACCUAUGCAGAUUUGGUAAAAAUAGGAGAAUCAUUAGAGUAAGGUAUUCGGAUAGGAAAAAUUUCCAAAACCCCGACAUCAUCUGGAACUGCCAUGUUUUCUAAGAAGAAAAAAAAAGAGGUAGGUGAGGUUUUUGCCAAUUCUGUUACAAAAUUGAAACAACGGUUCAACUCUAGAAACGUUUUAUCUUCCCCACCAUCACCUAACCUUCCACACGCAUUCUAUGUCCACCCCCAAUACCAAACUCCACUCCCAAAUAUCCCACCAUCAUUCCAAGCUCCACAGCCAAAUAUCUUUCCCCAAUACCUAGUUCCAUCUCUAAAUUAUCAAUCUCAUUUCCAAACUACUCCCCCAAAUAGCCGAACAAAUUUCCAAACACCUCCAAAUUACCACCAAGUACCCCAUCCUACAAACCUAAGCCCGUAUAACCCCCAACGUCCAAACCACGAAAAGAAACCUCCCCAAAACUUCACCCCACUAGCUGAAAGUAAGAACCAAUUUGUUUGAAAGAUUAAAGAAUGAUGGUUAUUUGCAACCAGUACAGCCAAAGCCUGUCAAUCCUAGCUCCUGAUUUUAUCACCCUGAUCAAAAUUGUGCCUAUCAUUCAGGGGCAGUAGCGCAUAAUACCGAGGACUGUCUUAACUUGAAACACAGAAUCAAAGAUCUAAUUGAUCAAAAGGUCAUCACGCUCUAGGCACCUACUCCAAAUAUUAGCAGUAAUCCACUGCCCAACCAUGGGGGACCUACAGUUAACAUGAUUGAAAUAGAAGGCGAAUGGGCAUCUGGCAAAACCAUUACCCAGGUGAACUCCGAAAAGCGCAAAAGGGUAGAAGAGGUACGAAAGAUAGAGAAAGCUAUGGCUGCCUUAAGUAUCAGUGAGAAAGCCCCAUUAUAGUGAUGACUGCACUGACUCAAGUGUACGCUCCUUCUCCAAAGAAGGAAUUUAUUGUGCAAACCGCCAUUGCCCAGGGGAUGACACGAUCAGGACGAUGUUACAUCCCUGAGGAAUUGACUAACAAGAAAGAUUCACAGAAAAGGACAAUCACUGAAGGAGAGGCUGAGGAAUUUUGGAGGCGUAUGCAACCAAAGGAUUACUCAAUUAUCAAACACUUGAGAAAACGCCAGCCCAAAUCUCUGUCUUGGCACUAUUAUUGAGCUCGCAACACCAUCGACAGGCUCUGUCGAAGGUCUUGGAGGAAGUGUAUGUUCCCGCAAGAAUGAGCAUUAAGAAUUUGGCUGUGAUGAUAAGGAACAUUGUAGGGAACCAUCGAUAUCAUUCAGUGACGAAGAGUUGCCGUUUGAAGGAUUAAUGCACAAUAAAGCCAUGCAUGUCACCAUUAUUUGUCGAGAUUAUAAAAUUAAUCAGGUAUUAAUAGACGAUGGAUCUGGUGUGAAUAUUUGUCCCCUCUCCACGUUGGUCCAAAUGGGCUAUAAUCUGGGGAACAUGCGUCAAAGCCACAUAAAUGUAAGAGCAUUCGAUGGAGGAAAGAGAGAUACCAUAGAAGAGAUUGAUUUGCACAUCCAAAUGGGGCCUGUUGAGUUUAAUACUAAGUUUCAUGUUAUGGAUAUCCAUCCUAGCUACAACCUGCUUUUGGGAAGACCAUGGAUACACGGGGCAAAGGCAAUUUCAUCACCCCCUUCAUCAAUUAUUGAAGUUCAUUUGGAAAGAUCAUGAAGUAGUCAUCUAAGAAGAAGAAAGUCGAGUGGACCAUCCCAAUGGUUAUGUGCCGGUGAUUAAAGAUGUUCCAAAAGGACGCAGUUUCUAUACAGUGGAAAUUGUAAAUGCUACGGAAAAAGAUUCGACAUCCAAAAUAUCAAUGUCUUCUGUCUACAAAAUGAUUGCAACUAUGAUGUUAAGAAAUGGGUUGGAAACUGGUCGAGGCUUGGGCAAGAAUUUACAAGGAAUUAUCAAGCCUAUUGUGAUCCCAGAGAGAAGCUCUAAGCAAGGGUUAGGGUAUCAGCCUACCAGAAAAGAUAGGGUUGAGGAUGAGCCAGAAAAGAGACUGUUUAGGCCCUUGCCACUCCUGUUCCAGUCAUUUCCCGUAUGAGAGAUGUCAGAUGAUGCUGGUCUUGGGGAUGGGAUAGGAGAUUUAUUUGAAGGAUGUAAUGCUGUACCGGAAGAUGUCCCAGAGUCCAGCGGGGUGAAGCAAAUUGCACUAGGGGAGGCUUUACAAAAUUGGACCUCCACUCCACUCAUAACCCAUCGCCCGUCAUGCUAAAUGAAAGGGCAAUUCCUAAUAGUUUUGAAAUCGGUGAUGAUCCGGAGGAGGCCCCGCAAUCCACCUUUUUUAUAUUUCAAAACUUUAUUUUCAUAUCUUACUGCUUUCAAAAAAGGCGGGGUCUUGUAUUUGUGCAAGUCACAAGCCAUGGUUUUGUAAUUAUUUCUCAAAUUUCAAUGAAAAGGCCUUCAUUUAGUUGGAAAACUAUAUUAGUUCUAGAACGCUCCUAGUCAUAUGUUUUGUUAUUUUCUUAUCAUCUAAGUUAGUUUGUUUGUCCAUUACAGUACCAGUAGCUUAAAACCUGCCAAUGUUGUGUCAUGUCAAAGCCUGAACGAACAAAAUGAAGGGGACAAUGAUGGUUAGAAGGACAAUAACGAGGAACGGUUAGUUGAAGAUAUGGAGGAAUUUGAGAAUCGCAAAAAAAUGCAAUUUGGAAGAAACUGAAACAGUCAACUUGGGAGAUCACGAUGAAAUCAAAGAGACCAGUAUCAGUGUCCACCUCGCAGCGUCACAAAGGGAAGAGCUCAUCCAGCUGUUGCGAGAGUAUAUCGACGUGUUUACUUGGUCCUAUGAUGAUAUGCCAGGGUUGAGCACCAGCAUUGUGUCACAUAAAUUAUCGAUAAAUUCUGAGUUUGAUCCAGUCAAGCAAAAAAUGAGAAAAUUCAAGUCAGAUUUAAGUCUAAAGAUCAAGAAAGAAGUGACAAAACAAAUCCAGUCUAAGGUUGUCGAGGUCACAAAAUAUCCGACAUGGUUGGCCAACAUCGUCCCUGUGCCAAAGAAGGAUAGCAAGAUUCGAAUUUGUGUUGACUAUAGAGACUUGAACAGAGCUAGUCCUAAAGAUAAUUUUCUGUUACCCAAUAUCCACAUUCUCAUCGAUAACUGUACGAAACAUGAAAUGCAGUCAUUCGUUGAUUGUUUCACCGGCUAUCAUCAGAUACUGAUGGAUGAUGAAGAUGCAGAAAAAAUGGCUUUUAUUAUGCUCUGGGGUGUUUAUCAUUACAUGGUAAUGCCGUUUGGUCUCAAGAAUGCAGGUACAACAUAUAUGAGGGCCAUGACGAUGAUUUUCCAUGAUAUGAUCCAUAAGGAGAUUGAGGUAUACGUGGAUGAUGUAAUUAUCAAAUUCCGUAAGAGUUUGGAUCAUCUAACUCAUCUGGAGAAAUUCUUCAACAGAUUAAGAAGGUACAGUUUGAAGUUAAAUCCUGCUAAGUGUGCUUUUGGUGUGCUAUUAGGGAAGUUGCUGGGGUUCAUAGUCAGCAGAAGAGGGAUCGAGCUAGACCCAUCGAAAAUCAAGACAAUUCAAGACUUGCCACCGUCGAGGACCAAGAAAGAAGGUAUGAGUUUCCUGGGUCGUCUGAAUUACAUUAGUAGAUUCAUUGCUCAAUCAACAGUCAUAUGCGAGGCAAUUCUCAAGAUGUUGAAGAAAAAUGCACUGAAUGAGUGGACAGAAGAAUGUCAAAGAGAUUUUGAUCACAUCAAGGAAUACUUGUCUGCACCACCGGUCUUAGUCUCGUCGAGAGAAGGAAUUCCAUUAUUGCUUUACCUGUCAGUCUCAGCAAAAUGCUUUUGGAUGCGUUGUGGGGCAACAUGACGAGACCAGCAGGAAAGAGAAAGCCAUUUAAUACUUGAGUAAAAAGCUCACACUAUAUAAAGCCCGUUACACUCUUAUAGAAAGGACAUGUUAUGCUUUGACUUAGAUGGCACAAAAGUUGAGGCAUUAUCUGUUAUCCUACACAACUUACCUCAUCUCGAGAAUGGAUCCAUUGAAGUAUAUAUUCUAGAAGGCCAUGCCUACAGGAAAGCUAGCCAAGUGGCAAAUAUUGCUGAGUGAGUUUGACAUUGUGUAUGUAACCCAAAAAGCAAUCAAGGGGCAAGCCUUAGCAGAUCAUUUGGCUGAAAACCCAGUUGAUGAGGAAUACGAGCCACUUCGGACAUACUUUCCAGACGAUGAAGUUUUGUUCACAGGAGAAGAUAUCACGGAAAUAUACCCUAGAUGGAGGCUAUUUUUUAUGGGGUGGUCAACUUUGAAGGUUCAGGAAUUGGAGCAGUUUUGGUAUCAAAAAUGGGCCAGCAUUAUUCGGUAACUGCUAAGUUACGUUUUCCAUGCACCAAUAACAUGGCUAAAUAUGAAGCUUGCAUCCUGGGGCUCAAAUUGGCACUUGAUAUGGGUGUUCGUGAAUUGCUAGCCAUCGGAGAUUCAGAUUUGCUGAUUCACCAAGUACGGGGAGAAUAAGCGGUAAAAAACUCUAAAAUUACUCCUUAUGUGGAGCUGGUGCAAGAAUUAUACGGAAGAUUCAAGGAUGUUGAUUUCAGACAUAUCCCACAGACACAAAAUGAGUUUGCUGACUCUUUAGCCACGAUAUCUUCCAUGAUUCAGCACCCGGAUCAGAGUUACAUCGAUCCUUUAGAAAUAAGCCUGAAGGAGCAACCCGUGCAUUGCAUACACGUAGAAGAGGAGCCUGAUGGAAGGCCUUGGUACUAUGACAUUAAGAGGUAUUUGGAAUCUGGAAUAUAUCCCGAAGAGGCUAGUAACAACCAAAAGAAGACAAUCCGGCGUUUGGCAAAGAAUUUCUUUCCAAGUGGAGAAAUUCUUUUUAGGAGGACUCCUGAUUUGGGAUUCCUAAGAUGUGUCGAUGCGGCGAAAGCCAAUAAGUUGAUAAAUGAGGUACAGGUUGGAGUUUGUGGGCCCCACAUAAAUGGGUUUGUCCUUGCCAGAAAGAUCCUGAGAACUGGUUACUUCUGGAUAACCAUGGAAAAUGAUUGUAGUAAGUUUGUGCAGAGAUGUCCAAAAUGUCAAAUACACGGAGAUCUGAUUCGAAUACCUCUAUACGAGCUUCACGCAAUGAAUUCUCCUUGGCCUUUCGUAGCUUGGGGCAUGGAUGUCAUCGAACCAAUAGAGCCUCUAGCAUCGAAUGGGCAUAAAUUUAUUUUGGUUGCCAUUGAUUAUUUCACUAAGUGGGUCGAAGCUACUUCGUACAGAGCCGUCACUAAGAAAGUAGUUCCAGAUUUCGUCAGGAAUAACUUGAUUUGCCGAUUUGGAGUGCCGAAAUUGAUUAUUACUGACAAUGGGGCAAACCUAAACAAUCACUUGAUGAAAGAAAUUUGUGAUCAAUUCAAGCUUGUGCAUCACAACUCGACAGCGUACCAUCCCCAAAUGAAUGGAGCCAUAGAAGCUACUAACAAGAACAUCAAGAAGAUCUUGAGAAAGAUGGUCGAAAAUGAUAGAUCAUGGCACGAGAUGUUACCUUACGCCUUGCUAGGGUAUCGAACAACAGUUCGAACCUCCACAAGAGCAACUCCCUAUUUACUAGUUUACGGGAAUGAAGCUGUGAUACCCGCUGAGGUCGAAAUACCUUUCCUAAGGAUUAUUCAGGAAGCUGGAUUGAGUAACGAAGAAUGGGUCCGUGCUCGCUAUGAAUAAUUCAUGUUAAUUGAUGAAAAGAAAAUGGUCGUUGUAUGCCAUGGUCAGCUGUAUCAACACAGGAUGGUUCGUGCCUUUAACAAGAAGGUAAGAACUCUAGCAUUUGAAGUGGGGCAACUGGUUCUCAAAUAAAUAUUCCCUCACCAAGAGGAGUACAAGGGCAAGUUCACUCCAAACUAGAAAGGGUCAUACAUAGUUCGCAAGGUACUAUCUGGAGGAGCACUGAUUUUGUUUGAGAUGGAUGGCACAGAGUGGACCAAACCAAUCAAUUCUGAUACGGUAAAGAGAUAUUAUGUUUGAAUGAUGUUCUAGUUUUUGUGUUUUCUUAGUUUGUUUGUAAUCACCUUUGUAAUAAUGUUGUUUGCUAGUAUGUAACUGUCUAGAAUCCUUUCCCUUUAUGUAUGAACUACGUGAUGACCUGAAUUCCCAAUAAAAGGGAUACGUAGGCGGCCUAUGUCGAAUUCGGUCAACCUAUUAGAUUUUUCUAUAUAUAUCCCUAGCGUAGGCCUGAACUAUGUUUGACCUGAUUCCUGCUUCAACGGGAUACGUAGGCGCCCAAACGGCUCGAUCAUAUAACCCCAGAAAAGGAAAACUGGGGCAGAAUUUUCGAGAAGGAAUCUCAAAAAUUCACAAGAGAUGAUCGACAUCCAACAAAGAGAAGAAAGAUCAACAAAGACUUCAGAUCCACUCAGAUUGAUAUUAUCUCAAACAAGUUUAAACUGGGGCCGAAAUUUUAGGAAAGACCUCAAAAUUUCCACCAAAUGUCGGAACAUAUUCGAAAUUCCCCAGCACCAGAGGUUAAAGAUUUGGAAACCACCAACUGUAAUGAAGUCUGGGUAGACUCAAUUUUUGGCUAUGAUAGAACUACCUGAAGAAACCCUCCAACAAUAAUUAUGAGUUUUGGAAACCAUCCAUCGGAUAUAGUCAGAACCGCGAGGAAGACGUUCAUUGAGCUAGUACAUGACAUGACUGACAGAAAUUUUCUAAAAUUUUACAGAAGUUUUCAAAAUUAUUUUAAAAAAUUUAAGACUAUUUUCAAAAAUCUUACGACUCACUUACUUAGUACUUGCCUAGACAUCAUUUGGGAUAGAGUGUCAGGGUGGAAGUCUCAAUAUGGUGGAAUGCCCAAGAGAUGGCAAGGAGCAAAUCAAGGAUUGAAGAAGGUCAACAUGGAGUAAUUUCAUUCAAAUAAUCAUUUUUCUAUGGAUGCAGGGAUAAAUAUGCAAAAUGAGAGUCUCUUUCAAAAAUCCCCGAGCAAAUUGGGAGCCAUAACAGAUCAUUAAUGCCCAAGAACGGUAUUUUAGGGCAUCCCUAAAAAUAGGUUUAAUUCUAAUUUAUUGAGGACCUUUUGAUUUGUCCAUCUCAUUUCUUGAGAUCGUAGGCGACAAACAAAAGCACUUUAUCUUCUUUACACGUAUCGUAUUUAGAAGUUUCCUAAAAAUAGUCGCUAGUAAAAGCGACUUUGUGUCUACUAAUCGUCUACCUUGAGUACAGGUACAUGUAGAAAGCAAGACACUGACAAAUGAAGCCAGGUAAAAUUAUUUUAUCACUGCCACAAUGACCAUUGCAUAUCAUUGCCGCAAAGGCCAUCACAUAUCAUUGCCGCAAAGGCUAUUACAUAUCUGUUGACGCGUUAGACACAACGCUGGCAUCGAGGAUAUUAUCAGCAUUCAAUAGAUUUUGACGCACUAGACACAACGCUGGCAUCGAGGAUAUCAUCAGCAUUCAACAUCUGUUGACGCGCUAGACAUAACGCUGGCGUCGAGGAUAUCAUAAGCAUCCAAUAUAUCUGUCAACACGCUAGACACAACACUGGCGUUAAGGAUAUCAUCAGCAUCCAAUAUAUCUGUCGACACGCUAGACACAACGCUGGCGUCGAGGAUAUCAUCAGCAUCUAAUAUAUCUAUCGAUACGCUAGACACAACGCUGGCGUACAGGAUAUCAUCAACAUCCAAUAUAUCUGUCGACACACUAGACAUAAUGCUAACAUCGAGGAUAUCAUUAUCAUUUAAUAUCUAUUGAUGCACUAGACAUAACGCUGGCGUCGAGGAUAUCAUCAGCAUUUAAUAUAUUUGUCGACACGCUAGACACAAUGCUGGCGUCGAGGAUAUCAACAGCAUUCAAUAUAUCUGUUGACACUUAAGACAUAAUGUUCGCGUCGAGGAUAUCAUCAUCUUUUCAUGAAUCAGCAUCUGAAUACAUUAAGAGCAUGAUUUAGAGGGACGCCUUCAGGUAGCUAUCUAAGGAUGAAUGAUAUAUAAGAUUUCCUAGCUAUUGGCAAUUUGAAGGUCAUCUAUAAGUCAUAUUAUUUGAAAUAGGAUAGUGUGCAAGAUCACCUAUGAGUUGAUAGACUGUAAGUCAUCCGUAAGCCAUAAUAACAUCCUAAUAGGAUAGUGGAUGAUGUGCAGGAACACCUGAAAACUAGCAAUUGGAGGGAUAUCUAUAAGUCAUCUCUUAUCCAAAGUCGGAUGAUGUGCAGGAUUAUCUAAAAGCUAGAAAUUCAAAGGAUAUCUGUAAGUCGCCUCGUAUCCAAUAUCAAAUAAUGCGCAAGAUCAUCUGAAGAUUAACAAUUUAGGGAAAAUUUAUAAAUCGAUCAUCGGCUAUAACCGAAGAGGUUAUCAUGCCACAUACAACAAGUGAUACAAGUAACCAAAAGGGUUUCCACACCAUCAUAAGAUUACACGAUUGUAGGGACCGCUCUGCAAAAAAUAUCGUCGGUGUCCAAAAGGGCCACCCCACUCUGAAGGCAUAUUCAACCGACAAAUGUCAUAAUUAUACAACAACCAAGAGGGUUGUUGUAUUUGUUGUUUCCAGUUAUUUCAUUCCAAANNNNNNNNNNNNNNNNNNNNNNNNNNNNNNNNNNNNNNNNNNNNNNNNNNNNNNNNNNNNNNNNNNNNNNNNNNNNNNNNNNNNNNNNNNNNNNNNNNNNNNNNNNNNNNNNNNNNNNNNNNNNNNNNNNNNNNNAAAGGAUGAAAAUCUCAAAUCAAAACCACAGGUGCGGACGACUCCAAAAAGAACGCAGCACAAUGUGGAACUCUUUCUCAGCAGUAAAACGGGACAUAGUCUGGAGAGGAAUGUCAAACUCUCUAGACGCGAGCUAAAUGAUGAUCACCACCACCAUCCAACCACACCUCUAUUAGAAGGCAUGUGGGUAUUUAUGGAUAUUAUGGUCUCAGCUUUACCUCUGGGAUGUUUUCUUAACUCAUAUCGAGGGUAACUUUCUCUUCCUUUCAAAUUCGGGUGGUAACACACUUAGAGUUUUGGAAAUUAUGUCCGGAUAAGUUCUUACCUAUGGAUGUGAAGAGCUCCACGUUCAUGGUUAAGAAGUUACAAACCUCUUUUCUGCAACUCGAUUGACUGGUCACCCAUCUUGAGCCAAAGAUUGUCUGAAACAAAAGACUAUCUUUUCUACCGGUUGAGUCGAACUACAAGCAGUCUGAUUCCCUGAGUAUUAGGGAUAUAUAGGCAGGGAUCUAUGUAGAAAACUCGACUGCAUACCAACCUCCCCCCUAAUCCCUUUAUCCCCAAGUUUCUCAGUUUUAUCAAAAACUCUAAAAUCGAGAUAACUUGUGAAUCUUUUGAAAAUCAUGCUCAAAAUCAAGCUUUAUGAACUACAAGUGGCCUAAAUUCUCAUGAAACCUGAGAUAUGUAGAAAACCUGAUACCGAGGUUUGGCCAUAACUCCAUGAAACUCGUGCGGAAAACCAACCUUGCUUAGAUACGAAUUUGUGGUCGGACAAAAAUUAGGAACGUCAACCUCCCUUUGCCCAGGAUUACUUGCAUCCAUCCUAGCCAAAGGGAGGGGGCAAUUGUUGACACCUAAUUUUUGCUCUCCACAACUACGUUUAAUCUCGGGUUUCUUCGAUUUUCAAAUAAAAUCACAACAAUUAUUUUUUCCACAUAAACGCAUUUUUAAAAUAUACAUUUGGGUUAAAUUUGUCAUUUAAGAGAUAAUUAUAUAUUUUCGUAUUUGAAUACAUGGGAUUAUAUAAAUGAUGUCAUUUAAAUGAACAUUUUCAUCAAAAUUGAACUUUAAAUUAAGGAUUAUUUGGAAAAUAAAUAUAAAUAAUUAAAUCUUGAUUUAAAUAUAAUUUAUUCUAAAAAAUAAUUUAUUUGGAUAAAUAUACAUUUAAUUUUAUCAAAUCAAGAACUCCAGGAUUAAGCAAGGUGCUAAUUCGUAUCGAAUUUCGAUUCGAUUUAGUCAAUUUAUUAAAUUUGACGCUAAUUGAAACCAAAUUGGCCCCAAUUGUAAUACAAUUGACCAAUUAGUAUUCAAUUUGGCUAGAAUUUAAAUUUGAUUGCCUAAAUUGUAAUCCAAAAUCAGAAUCCUAAUUCUCGAAACCCUUCUACUCAGGUGAAGAAAAUGAUAUAGGAAAAGAAAAAAUAACAUGAGAAAGGGAAAAAAAUAAGAAAACAAAAAAAAUUAAAGAAAUAAAGGAAAAAGGAAAAAAAGAAUAGAAAUAAAAGAGAGAAAAUAAAGUGGAAAGAAAAAAAAUUAAAAUAAAAAAGUAAAACAAUAAAAAAAAUUAACAAGAAAAAAAAUUAAAGAUGUAAGAGAGUGAGAGACAGGAAAAAACAGUAACGAUGCUUUAUUUUAAAUUUUUGAAGAUCAUGAAAAUAAUAAUCUUUCAUAUUUGAGUUUGAUUUGAAAAAUGAAUCAACUAAUUGAAAUAAGAAUAAUUUAUGAAAAAGAAAUCUACUGCAGUAAUUUAUGAAAAAAGAAUUUACUGUUUUCUUAUUUAACUCCAUUGAUUUGAGUAAAACAAGGACAGUAAAUCUUGUUGUAUAUGUAUUUUAGUAACAAUACUUUUAUAAAAUACAAAAUACAACUUGCUAUUUUUUCGUAAUUAUGAAACAUUUGUUAUAAAAGUUCUAAUCAUAGCUAUAAGUUUGCUACUUAUGAAAAAAUUUUAAAAUUAUUUUUCUAUAAAAUAGAUUGAAGUAGAGAUUGAAUUGAUCCUAUUUGAACCCAAUUUAAAAAUGGGUUGAGAUUUACCCAAUAGUAAAUUAUCUUGAACCCAACUCAUUAAAUAUUGAACGAAUUGGACGGAUCAACUCAAUUUGUAUUCAUUUUAACACCGCUAAACUACUAAUGGUAGCUUGUGAUAUCUCCUUUGAAACCCUUAUUCUUGCCACUAACAUAUUUUGCCCGAUAAUAGUAACUUGCUCAUCUCAUUCUCCCAUCGUUAUAAUAACUCCAAAACCCAAAUCAGUCUUAUAGGAAUGAUAACUCCUACAAUAAAAAAUCGUUUGGUUUGAGGUAUAAUAGAAUAUAAUCUCGGGAUAAGUUUUUAGUAUCUCUUAAUCCUUUAUUUGGUUACAAAGUGUGGACAACUUAUUCCAAAAUUAAUAAUUAAUAAUAGAAUAAGUUAUCCCCACAUGUGGGUGGAAUAGUAAUACUGGGAUAACUUAUCUCAGGAUAAAAUAUGUGAAUAACAAAAGUAGCCUUCUUAUAAAUCUUUUUUAUACAUCGCUUUCAUAUUCAUAUAUAUUUACAUAAUUUUUAUUGCCAUUUAUAAUAACAUUCACAACCUUAGCUACUUGUUAUUUUUUUAUAAUAUAUUUUUUUGUUAAAAAAUUAUACUUUAUAAAUAUAAUUUUUAUUUAUGCAUAUAUAUUGAAUUUUUUUGACUAAUAUUUAUAUUUAUUUAUAUUUUAAUCUCUCUUAAAAUGUUAAGACUCCACUAAUAUUGAUGAGAAUGUACGAUAUAAUGAUAACGUCGAUGACAAUAUAAUAAGUAAUUGAAUUUUAAGUAUUAGUAUUGCUUCUAAAAGUGCUGAAUGUUAAUUGUUAGAAAUUAUGAAGACAAGUUUUGUAGUCAAAUGUUUAAAAAGGUUGUACGUUGCUAACUAAAAAUAAAUUAGUUGAGUUGAACGCUUAGUAAUGUACUUUUUACUAAAUAGUCUGUUAGUUACUUGAAAAUUUAUAUCUUACAUAUCAAUUAAAAUAAAGAUAAUUAUAAUGUUUUACAAUAUUAUAUGUGCUUAAAUAAAGCGACAUAAAUAAUAAAAUACAUGCACAAUUAUGAGAACGCACACAUAAAAAAAUUUCAACUAAAUAAGAUAAAAAAUUUAUUUUAAGAAUGAAUAACUAAAGCUUGCAAGAAAAUAUCUAUAAUAUAUUAAAAUGUAAAGACUGUUGGAAAAGUGAUUUGAACUUUUUGCCCUUUAUUAAAAGACUCCACAAUAGACAAAAUCGUCUUAUCACUAUUUUUCUUAAAUUAUUAAUUAAUGAUUUUAAUAAUAUUAACUAUAAUAUUGAAUCCUACAAUAUAUAUGAAAAAAAAAUUAAAAUUCCUAAAAUAUAUGGUAAAAAAUAAAUAUUACAGUAAGAAGAUUUAAUUAGGAACAUACGCGUGUAUGAUUUUUUUAAAUUUUUAUUAAGUAGGACAAUGAAACCUAUUUUGUAUUAAACACAAAGCAAAAGCAAAAGUCUAAAAGAACUAUAGAAAACGUAGAGUAAAUGUCUAUUUGCAGUAUUUUAUUGUUUUUAAAAUUCUUAUUCUUCUAAAGUUGGUAGUUAUUCAAGCGGAAAAAAUAUAAAUUUAUCAUAUUUAAAUUUUAUUUUAUUUUUGAAGAAAAAGGGUUUGAACUUCUAUAAAUUGAGAAUUCUUCUACAACAAUACAACAACAUUUUCAAUGAACAUAUGAAACAAAAUUAUUUACUUUUGAUCUUAGAUCAUUCUUCAUUAUUUGCUUUAGAAUUAUUUUUUACGUCAAGAAAUAUUUUUAUAAUUUUCAAUUUAUUUUGAGGUACAUUAAUUUUGUAUGUAUUUUGAAGACAGAAGAUGAUGACAAUAUAUAUAGGCAGUUGAUGAUCCGAAAUUUGGAAGAUGAUUAAUUUCGCGUGACAAUUCCUAGUAUAUAAAAAAAAGUAAGGUGGAGGAUAUUUUGGUAAACAAAUAAUCAUUCUUAGAAAUUAUACAAUGAAUAAUUAUUCUGAAUAUAAUAAAUCAAACACUCAAGAAAAAAUAAUUUCAUCAUAAUUAAUCCAACAUAACUUAUGCCAACAUAUAUUAUUUCAACAUAAUUAAUCUCAGCAUAACUUAUUUUAGAACCAAACCACCCCUAAAACUCUUCGACCUCAUAGUCAAUCGUUGAAAAUCACUAUAAAAGUGUGUUAAUUAGGUCAAACUUGAAGGAAAAUCUUUGAAAUUUCUACACAUAAAGGUGUCUCUGAUAAACUCUAAUGAGGAACCUCCUUUUUCAUUGAUAAUAUAGUUAAUUCAUUUAAUCAUUUUUCAGUAGGAUUAGAUAUAAAAUAUUAAAAAUUAAAUUAAAAAAAUUGAUAAUUGAUAUUUAAUAAUUUGAUAUGAUUUUUUGGUGUAAAAUUUUAAUAUUUUAAUAUUUAAAAUUAAAUUUGGUGCAAGAUAUUAAUAUUAUUUGCUAUUUGGUAUUUAUCGAAUAUCGAAUUAUUAUAUAUAUAUGCCUAACUAACUCAAUAAACAAUAAUAUUAGUCUUUUCGAAGAAUCUUUUAGACUUUGAUAAUAUAUGUGUAAAAAGCACACACAGAAAAAUAUACUAAAUAGGGUUUCAAUUAAAUAUACUUUUAAAGUUUAAAGGGAGAAUACUUAAAAAAAUACCUGAAAUUUGACCGGAUUACCAGUUGAGCAUACUGAACUUUGCGGGGGUCCUAUUACUCCCCCAAACUUUUUUUUUCGUAUUUUAAUGCCAUAUAUCUGUCACUUGACACAUUGCGUGUUAGUCACGUGCAUUAAGCGCGUAAACAAUGCUAAAAAUAUUUUAAACUCUUUUUUUUUGCCAAACAAUCCCUUAAUUUUAUAAUUAAUAAAAGUUUUAUAUUUUUAUUUAGUUAAAGUUUUUCUUUCUUCUUUCUUCUUUCUUCUUUCUUCUUGAUUCUUGAGUUUCAGUUUCUUCUUCCUCUUUGUUGCAGUCCAUUUCGUUCCGUUUCAAUUUUCAUUCUUGAAGAUUCCGUUAUCGAAACUGAAAACUCAAUGGAAGAAAGUUUGGAGUUUUGAGUUUAAGAAAGUUUGUUGAAGAAAGUUUUCAAGAAAUUUGAGUUGGAAUGGACUUGAAAUUUGAAUCUCAGUGGAAGAUUCAAUUGAGUUGGGGUGGUUUGGAAAUGAAAUUUGAAAACUUUUGGGGACCCGGAUGAAGAAAAUUAUGUAUGUUUGAAAAUGGAAUUUGGAAAUGAAAGAAAUGGAAUUCAAUGUAUGUGAUAAGAAUGGACUUGAAAUUUGAAAUUGACUCAAUGAAAUUAUUUGGAAUUUAAUUUAUAGGAUGAAUUUGAGUUGUGGAAUAUGCUCCACUGAAAAUUUGGUUAAAGGUCAGAUAUUUUCGUAGGUAUUAUCCCAAGUUUAAACAUAAUUUGCACAUCUCCAACUUUAAUACGGUAUUAUCAAAUAUCGUAUCCAGUGGCAGACCUAAAAUUUAAGGAUAGUGGAUGCUUAAAAAAUUUUUAAAAAUGAGAAAAAUAAAAAAUGACCUCAAUGAGGUUCAAACCUGAGUCAACACUUUUAGCGAAGCACCAUAAAAUCACCCUAAAUAUCAAUGCACCUAACCAACUUUUUGUUAGAGUGGGUGCUUUUAUAUAUUUUAUACCUAUUUUCAUAUAUUUUCUAUAUAAUUAUACCUAUUUCGGAUUGAGUUUAUUGGGUGUCGGAGCACCAUAAAUUAUAACAUAGGUUCACCCCUGAUCGUACCGAAUCGAAAUUAAAUUUAUCAAUUAUCGAAUUAUUCAAUCGAUAUUUAAAAAUAUAAUAUAUUAUAUUUAUUUUUAAAUAGCGAUUAUUAAAUUACUGAACUUAAAUUUUAAAAAUAUCAAAUCGAAUAUCAAACGUUGAUUCCUACUUUUGAGACAUUUAAAAAAAGUUUUUCUGACCGAGACAAUCAUAAGAAGAACUGUUAACCUUGCUUUAUAAAUAAUAUAGACAAUAGGAAAUAAAUCAAGUCGUUUUAUCUGACUGAAUAUUUCAAUUACAUUAAAAUAGUGAGUAUUGAGACAGAACUAAAAGGACAAAAAGAAAGUAAAAAUAAAUAUAAUAGCUCUAUUUUUGAUAAUUUUUAUUAGAUGAUUAAUAAUACAAAGUUAGCUAAAAGUUAGGGAUGUUCAUGGUUUAGUUUUUAACCAAAUCGAACCGCGAUUCAAAUCAAACCGAUUAAAAAAUAUGAUAUUUAGUUAGGUUUGAUUUUAAAUUUUUAAAAACCAAUACUAAUUUGAUUUGGUUUGGUUUUAGUUAUUUAUAAAUACAAUAUAAAUAUUUGUUACAUUUUAUAUUUUAAGCAUGAUUUAACUUUAGUCGUAACACAUUAAGUCAUAUGUCUUCAUCCAGUUAACAGUACCUUAUUAGAUUCUAAAUGAAUUUUUUGAAUGAAAAAUGAUAUUAAUUGUGAAAAUAAUAUCUUAUUGUAUAUUAGAAUAUACACAAUCACUAAUUUUAACCUUCUUUUUUAACCUUGUUGAGCAAGAAGUUUAUGUAUUCACCUUUCGGGAGGUUUAUCAUAUCAUUCUGUUAAAUGUAGUUUUUAAAGAUUUUUUUAGAAGCAUUCAUAUGGUGUUGUUCAUGGCUUUGCCGAACUUUUAUCUUUUAAAUUUUUUAACCUUUAUCAUUAGCUAAAGUUAUAAAACCGAAAAAACUGAACUAAACCGACAAUAACCAAACCGACAAUUAUUUUUUUAUUUGGUUUGAUUUAGUUUUGGAAAUUAAAAAACCGACUAAGCUGAUUUGAUUAUGAUUUUGACCAAUAACCGAUCCAAACAGAUCCAUGUACUAAAAGCUAUAUUUUUUAUAUAUGAUUCACAAAAAGUUGCAGUUUUCACUUUUUUUCUCAACUAAUUUUUUUAUUUUUCAUGCUAAAAAGUUACAUCAUAGUAAUUUUUUCUCAACUAAUAAAUUAUUUCUAUAAUUUUUUUAUAAUAUAUAUAUAUAUAUAUAAUAUAAGGUCUUCAUAAUUAUGAAGUUUGAUAAUUAUCUAAGUAAACUAAUGAACGAGAAAUUUGUCUACGCAUUAUAAUUAUUUCACUUUUUACUUCAUAUACAUUUUAUAUAAAUCCUAGCAUACUUUAUAGAAUUGUUAGUAAUAUGAUGUUUGGUUAGUUAUUAAACUUUGCAUAAAUUAUACAAAUUUUAAUCUUGGCAUAGAAAACUAUACAAGAGUCACCUGUUUAUACAAAAUUAUACACUUCAUACUAAACAUUAUUUUUCUCCAUUCCAAUAUAAUUUCAUUUUAGUUUAUUUUAUGUUCAUCGAGGAUUAUAAUAAAAGUAAAGUAUAAUUCAUUAAAUUAUUAUUUACUAGAUGUUUCGAAAAUUAAGUGCUAUUAAGAAGAAAUAUUUUCUCUUAAAACAAGAAUGGUCUAAAUUUUUUUUAGUUUGUUUUUUUAAAAAAUGACCUCUUUCUUGUUUUGUUAAUAUUUUAAUUUUAACUUUUCACUUGACAUGUUUAAAAUUAUAAGAUUAAAGAAUAUUUUAGUCUAUUUGACAUAAUUUUACUUUAAGGUCAUAAAUUUUUUUUUAUCUUUUUAAUUUUUUUAAUCUUCAUGCAAAACUAAAAUAAUUUUUUUUGAAAGGAAGAAAGUAAUUUUUAACAGAAUAUAGUUGAAAAUGAUUACUUAUUUCGAGAUAGUUGUUUUUCACUAAAACGAAAGGCGAUCUGACUUAAACUUCACAAAAAAAGAAAGAAAAAAGACAGCCACUUUAUUGUUUCUUGCUUGGCUGGUGAAACCCCUUUGAGUCCACUUGUCAAUCAUAAAUUCCACUUGUCAUGCAUAGACUCCACUUGUCGAGCACACCAAAAUUUCUCACUACUGCAACUUUCUUGGUUUGUGCUAUGAAAAAGACGACGUCAUUUUUCUUUUAGGCCGUCUUGGGCCAUCGUUUGGCGGCCUCAUCAAGCAAGAUUUGAAACCGCAAGUAUGUCUGAUAAGGCCUCAUUUAUUUGUAUUUAAUGAAGAUCAGAAUGUGAAUGAUUCAAAUUUUAGUUCAUUAAGUAUAUUUAUUUUAUUUUAAAAGCCUCUUUACGUUUCUGUCUCUCCUCCUCUUCGUUGUUUUUCUUCUCUUUCAAAUAUGAUUCACCAAAACUUUUUAUAAAUAUUUUAGUUAUCAAUUUGUGUAAUCACUAUUUGCUGCUCAAGAAAUCUAAGUUUCUGCUUACAAUUUUUUAUUUUGAUUAUAAAAUUUGUAGUGUUUUAAAUAAUAGAAUCUUAAGAUUUGACGAAUAGAUAAUUCAAAGUUCUUUAGUUUUUUUUUUUUUGUAAAUAAGAGAUAUGCAGUGUCCUUUAAUGUAUGCCAUUUUGUUUUUUUUUUUUGUUUCUGACUUUCAUUUUUCUUUAAUGUAAUGUAUGCACUGCCCUUGUUGUCUCCCUCUCAACAUCAUUUACAUGCUUUGGUACUUCAACAUCAUAAUAUUUUAGAGUGAUCAACGAUUGCAAGAAUAGGAUUUUGGACUUUCCAUUGACUAUAUUUUCAAUUUUCUUUAAAUUAAGUUGCCCCACAUUCACGGAUGUGCCAUUCUUUGUUGCUCCAAUCCCCAAUUUCAUCUUUGGUGUAACAUUAUUGGCAUGUGCAUGUAGUAUGACUAGAGAAAAUAUGCUAGAAAUUAAAGUUUUUGCCUUUACUGUUAAUUCUUGGAAAGAAUGCUAUCCCUGAGCAAAUUAAUGUGUCAAUAAUAAAUAGAUGAGCAGAGUAGAUUAAGUGAUUGUUAAUAAAUCAAGCUCUUGUGAAACAUUAGCAGAAUCAAUAACAAUUCAACCUUAAAAUAUAAAUUAACUACUCCCCAGUAGACAAAUACUAUGAAAUACACAAUUGUUUCACACAACCUGCAUUGCGUGUUUUAAUGCAACUCAAGAUUCUAAACAAAAUUAAUUUGAGAAGAACCAUAUCAUACAAUAUGACAAGAAUCAUCAUAAAUUACUUUUGGAAUAAUCUCUUCUUGUCAGAAUAUCUCAUUGUACACUUUCUUCAAGUUAACAAAUGAAUUGUUAGCCUUGCUGGUAAUCAAGUUAACAAAAAUCAUGUUAAUUAACAAAAUCAUGUACUUUAACAAUUAUGUAACAUAUCAUCCUACAUGAUAAUUAUAAUUCUACGUCAGUAAUGUUCUAAUCUUUGUCGCAACCCUUUUCUUAACCAAAAAGAUAUAAUUUUAAUAUUCGAAUUUUUUUAUUAUUAUUAAAGUGACAAAAUAAAAAUUUGUUUUGAAAAAAAUUAUUUUACAUUCAAAUUUAGAGUCGACACUUGGCAUAAUUUGCCACCCCUAGCUUAGGCUUUUAGCCUUAAUUUGUAUUUUUACGUCCAAGAAGGAUAGGGUUCAAAAGAAGGAUAAGAAAAGGCUCACGAUUUGCAAUGUUUUGGCAAAGAAAGGUAUAAUGGUUCAAAGUGGGCGAGCAGGGACAAUAUCUAUACAAGGGUAGGCAUUUUAGGCAAAAGUGGACUUCCAAUGCCACAACGAUUGCCCAAGAUCAUCUCCCCAACCAAAUACAUCAAAAAUUAGUCCAAGUCACCUUUGAAAAUCCUUUUUCAAAACUGUUUUGACUCUUUCAAACUGAUUUUCAAACAGAAAUUCCGGUUAAAGAAUUCUGUUGACCGAGGGAAAGAUGUUAGGCAACCCUCGGUCCCGUGAUUCUACCACAGUCGCUUCGUGGAGUAUAUUGGCUAGUACGAUACAAUGAAUGUACAAACCACAUAAAACACACAACGAUCAAUCAAACAAACAAAAACAAAACAAGUCCAAAAAUAUAAUGUCCAGUUCAAUUAUUACAAACCGAGAAUAAAAAAUUCUGAAUUUAAAACCUUAACUACUCUAACUAUCCUAGUUAUGCUUUACCCGAUGCCUUGGGCCUUGAUCAUGAACAUCUUCGAGUACAACUUUCUUGGGGCAUUCCCCGAAUAAAACAAUACAGAUACCUCGAGGCAUUCCCCGGCCAAAUAGUACAAUUGAUCCAAGUGAGAUAAAAUAAAAUCAUUCAACACACACAUUUCAAACAUUCUAUCAGUCCACGAUUCCUAAGUUUGCCUACCCAGCUUACCGUUUUCCUACCAACUUCAACCUAUGAUACUAUCAAAUUUGACGAAAUCAAUGAAUCAAAAUUAAUCCAUAUUCUCUUUUUACCAAUUUUCAACCUCUCUCCUCAAAUUUCAUUUUUAUUCUUCACGAGAUAUCAUUUCAUCCUAUAAAUCACAAUCCAAGGAAAUCAACCAAAUCAAUUUUUGUUUUGAUUUUAAAUUUAAAUUUAAAUAUCAUAUCAAUUUGUUAAAAGAAGAUCAAUUUAAUGUUCUUUCUUAUUCUUGCUUUUUAAAUGUAAUAUGUAACUUGUUUUUUAAAAUUGAGAUACAUUUUGAAAUUACAUUAACAAAAAUAAAAUAAAAGAAGAUCAAUUUGUUACUCUUCAUUAUCCUCACAGUUUUACAUUUUUCCUACGUUAUUUAGAAUUAAUAAAUUUGUAAAAUGUUAAAAAUAAUCUUUAUGUUCUUUAAAAAUAUAAAUAUAGAUAUUUAAAAGUGUUUAUUUGUAAAUUAUAAUUUCAUACUAUUAUAUAAUAUAAAUCGAAAUAAUGGUUGACUAUUUUAUCUCUUUAUGUUUUAGAAUUAAUAAGUUUUACUAUGUGUAAUAGAAAUAAUAAAAUGAAAUACAGAAUAAGGUCUUACCAAAUGAAAUAUAGAGUGGAAGAAGAUUCCAAUAUAGUCUAAUUUAAUUUGUUAGGAAUACAUAUUGGUUAAAAUUCAAACUCUCUAAAUACUUUCACCUCUAUUGGAGAUAAUUUUAUCUCAUAUUCAAUUUUAAUUUUUUGAAUUCUAAUUAAAAAUUUAUUAAAGUUGUUCUUAUUGUUAAAAGAAUUCAAGAAUGCAUGGAAUUAUUUAAGAAUGGAUGCAAAAAUACCUCUUCUUAUACUUUAAACAAUGCAUAAAAUCAGUAACAAAAAUUUAUUCAUAGAUGUAAAUUUGCAAGUAAAAUAAUGAAAAAAUAAUUCAACAAUAUCUGUAUGCCUACAAAAUUAUUUUAUAAUCUCCUAGAAGAAAGUAGAUAUGAAUUUUCUUACAUUCAUUCUUCACACAAAUAAUUUGUUAAAUCUUCUCUUUAUAUUUCGAGUCUCAAUUGUAGUUAUCUAUUUCUCAAAUAUUUAUUUUGUAUUUUUAAAUUAUUUACGUACAUCACAUUUGUCGAAAUUUCAACUUCUUUAGAUUCAUCUAUGACAAAAGAUAAAAUUUGUGUGAAGCAUAAAUAAUAAUAAUAAUAAUAAUAAUAAUAAUAAUAAUAAUAAUAAUAAUAAUAAUAAUAAUAAUAAUAAUAAUAAUAAUAAUAAUAAACUAACUAAAAAAUUUAAAUUAAGCAUGAAAAGACAUACCUUCGUAUUUAUUCAGAGAAAUUUGAGUAUGAGCAUUACCUAUAAUCUUUUUAUUCAUGAUAGGUACGCUUGUGAUUUAUGAUAAGUAUAAUAUUUAUCACAAAUAAUAAUAAAAGCUUUAAAAAUAAAUCAAGCAUGAACAACAUAUCUUGAUAGCUACUCGAAGAAAUCUGAUGAACAUUCACCUAAAAACAUUGUAGAUUAAUAAAAUCAAAAGUUACAAAUAAAUAAAUCUGUAUAUCUAAGAGAUAAGAGUUAACUAUCUAUCUACAAUAUGUUUACUCAAUUAGAAAAAAAAAAUAGAAGAUACGAAUAAUAAUGAACAGAUUUAUACGGAAUCAUAAUGUUAAUCAAUUUAUAUAGAUAACAUACUCAAUUUGAAAUUCAAAAAUGAAAUGAUUUAACUUUUAGAUAAACUUAAAUUCAAGUUAAAAUAAUAUUGUAAUUAUCCUAUUAGAUAGAAUGUGAAUAUAAAUUAUUAAAAAGUGAUUAUAUAUAGAGUAAUAUUAUAUUCAUAAUUAUCUACUAACCGUAUAUUGUGGUAAUUCAACCGUGAUAGGUAAAAAGGGGUAAAACGUGCUUAGCCAUAAAAGUAGGUUAUCACUAAUUUUAAAUUCAAAAAAUGAUUAGGAUAUUAAUUGGAUAAUUAUAAAUUUUAAACUUUAUCAAUAAAAUAAAAAGGAGAGAAAAUUUUGUGUAUUGGUUGCUAGAAAGUAGGAUUAGGUGCUAUUAUUAUGCAAGCAUAAUAGAAGCCAAAUGUGAACCGCAUAUGCCUCGCACGUGUAAUGCUUGAUUAUUUAAAAUUAAAUAAUUUUACUUAUUGCGGAGAUUUUUAAUAAAGUGUAAAAGUUCAAAUCUCUUUUCAAAAAUCUUUCACACGUUAAUAUAAUAAUGUAAACAUAAACAUAUACACAUAUAUGUUUUACCACCAUAAGUUUCAAGUGGUUGAUGGAUCAUUACUUUUGCGAUUGUCAUAUAGUAUCUCUUUCUCUUGUUGCCAUAUGUUAAGAGAGACACAUCAUAUUUGUGUUACGAUUAUUAUUUUAUUUUAUUAUAAUUAUUUUUUUCUUAUAUUUAAAGUCAAAUCCUUUCAAAAUCAAUGAUUACAUUCUUAUUAUACUUAAAACUUUUAAAAAUCUAGUACUUCUUAAAUUUUUUUUAUUAUAAUAGUUUUAUAUUUAUUUCUAGAUUUUUCAAAUCUUCUUAAAAUCAAAUUUAGUUGAUUUAGAAUUCUUAAACUAAUAGAAAAAGUAUCAGUUGUAAUUAGUUUUGAUGAGUUCUAAUAAGGAAAAGUUCUAUUAUAAACAUAUCUAAUUAAUUUUCAACUCUUAAAUUAGGAAAAAAUAUGAAAAUUCUGAUGAAGGUUUUACCAUAAAUAUAUUUAAUUAAUUUUUAACUCUUAAAUAUUAGAAAAAAAUAGUGAAAAGAUGAUUUUAUCUAAAGUAAGGAUAUUUAAUGAAGGGUAAAAAGUUCAAACAAUAUUUCUAAGGCCCUUCACACUUUUAAUAUAUUAUAGAUUAUAGAUUAUUAUUAUAGUUAAUAUUAAUAUUAUUAAUAUUAUUAUUAUUAUUACUAUUGUUUUAUAUUUUUAUCUUUUAUUUAAUAUUUAAAUCAAAUGUAUUGAAAUAUAUUUAAUACCAUUUAAAAGGAAUCAGUUUAUGAAAUAGUAGAGUUUAUUUAGAACUCUUCAAACUUAUGUUGCUAAUAUUAAUCUAAUGAUCAACUUUGUUUUUCUUUUAAAAAAAACUUAAUAAUUUCAAAUUAAAAUAUUUUUAAAUUUUUUAAUACAAUACUUUAAGCUUUGUCUUAAAACUGCCACAUGGCUUCUCAUUCACUUUUUGAUUAUUGUAUUUCAUCUUUAAACAUCUAUAACGACCUAAAAAUUUGAUGAAAUAUGUGAAAUUUAUGAUUUUGUUGUUUUACCCCUCCCCAUAGUUGCAUUAUGGUAUUUCUCGAGUGUGGGGGUGAUUGACAUAGCUUUUGAUGUAUUUUGGUACCAUUUAUGUGAUACUGUGGUUUUUGAUGGCUUUGAGAGCCUUAUUUUGGACCUAUGGGGAUAUCUUUUGAUCCGUGCAAUGGAUGGCCGAACAGACUAUGCCAACAGCUACGGAAUAUCGAUUUUAGGCUAGGUAGACCUUUGGUUCGGAUCCUGGUGCACUCGAGCUCAUUUCGACCUAUUGAUCGGAAAGAUGAAAAAAUUGAAAAUAUGAAUGUGGGACUCACAUUUGAUCGAAACGACCUCGGAUUGAAAAAUCUACUUCGACAGCAGAUUCGAAACGUCAAUUUUAGGGUGUUAGAAUAUUUGGUGUGAUUUUACGGCUUUUAAAUCUCAUUUCGAUCUACGGUUUGGAAAAUAGUGAUUCGGGUUUCGGGGGUCAACUUUUGAAAAUGAUAUUUUUUUGAAAAUCUGAUAUUGUCAUCACGUUCGAAACGUCGAAUUCAAUGUGGCUGCAUAGUUCAUUUGAAUAUAUUGGACUCCUAACGAAUCCUGGGCACCCCGUCGAAGUCCGAAUUGGACUUAAGAAAAAAAAAAGUUUUUUCUGCUAUAACAGUGCAGAAAAUCUGCACUAUUUAAGCAACUUUUUGGGCCCAUUUUUUGCUCAUUUUUUAUCUUGCCUCUUGAGAGUUAAAUCCUAAAAUAAUGUGAGAGCUUAAAAGUGAAGUUUGUGGAAGCUUGGGAAGCUAGAUUAACAUAUAUUUCUUGGUUUUAUCACGGAUUUAAGGUAAGAAUUCACCCUUUUCUUAGUAAUUUCUUGAUUAAUUUCUCAAAACCCCAAAAAUCUUAGGGCUUGAUUUUAAAUUCCAAUUUCACUCUUUUUCACUUGAAUAAUAUUUUCAUCUUAUAAUUACUAGUUUUUCAUCAAUUCAACCUUCAAAAUAACUCCGGUUCUUGAUUUUAUCCCGGAUUCAAAGAUUUUAUCGGUAAAGCUUAAAAAUAGUUUUUCUUUAAUUUGAACCUUAUUUUUUACUUGAUUUAACUUGGGUUUUCAGCUGUAGAUUCCUAAAAGUAUGGAAAACAUAUUUUUGAAGUAAAGUUCUGAUUUUGCCCUUUUUUCGAGAACUUGUUCUGGGGGUUUGUUUUGAUCCCAAAUCAAAAAUAGUCAAUAUGGGUGUCAUUGGUUUUGUUUUGACUCUUAAAUUUCAUAUUUGAUAUUUUUAGUAGAGUUCGAAAUUAUUCGUGAAAAGUAAGAUUGUGGGUUCGAAGUAUAGAGGAUCGGUUUCGGUUUUUGAGGUAGGUUAUAGCUUAACUCUUUCAAACUGGACUAGGUAGUAAAUGAUGGUACAAAAUGCAUGUUAAGAGUGGAAAUUAAUCAUGAAAAAUGGUUAUCUAUGUAUUGUGCCCGUGUGGGGGCCUAUAUGUGAUGUAAUCGUCGAAAUUGAGAUAUUAUUUGAUAUGUGUAACUGUGUGGGAUUCUAUGUGAUAUUGAUAGCCUUGAAUACAUGUGAAUAAUUUUAUUGUAUUGUUAAAAUGCUUAAUGUGGUACCAUUGGCGUAUUGUGAUUAUAUUCAUACUUUAUUGGCAUAUGAGACAAAUGGAAAUUCAUGGAUGAACAAAAGUAAUGAGCGGAUAUUGGCUCACAUAGUUGUGAAAAUAUAUCAUUGUGGUUGGUUGUGGAUAUAUAUCAUGUGUUUGGUUGUGAAAAUACUCAUUGUGAUUGGUUGUGAGCAGUACAUCCUCAUAUCAUACUCAUUCAUGAAAUAUUGGUACUACCAUGCAACACCUGCGUAACAUUGGCAACACCUUUUUAUAAAGCCCUUUCCGAGGGAUGUGUCGGAAAGGAGAUAUGAGAUAUGUAGAUUGUAUACGGAUUGACGAACCUCCCAUGGGUUCUAUGUUGGCAAGCUUUAGCUCCAUAGAUGUAUACGGGAAUUGUGCGAUGAUCCCGGAGGUUGUACGACGUCCUCGUGCAUCAUUGUCAUCAUCAUCAUCAUAUACAUUGCAUUUACUUUAUUGUGUUUAUAUUUUGUUGUAUUGCUAUAUUGACUUGUCAUCUAUAUAAUUGUCUUAUCUUCUUUUACUUGUAUUUGUUGAUCUUGUAUAUGCAUAUUCCCCCUUGUUCUACUUAUAUGUGAUAUAAUGCAUAUUUGUGUUCUAUCUUGGUGUGAUGUUAUAAUAUAUGUGAUAUAUUAAAACUGAUAGUGUAAGCGGUGUGGGCUACCGUUGUGGGAUAUUUUCUGAUUACAGGUGAUGUACUCUUAGUGUAUAUUUUGUAUGCUUUAUUUACUACUUUGCUUGGUCAGCCUAUGAUACCUACUGAGUACAAGUGGACCGUACUCAUGCCUACUGCGCCCUUUCGAUCAGGUCCUAACUCAAGUGCCCCUCAACUUGCUUGACUCAGGCGAUUGUUUGAGCUUCCAAGGUAGCGGUUGGACAUUUAUGCAUCCGAAGUUCACCUCUAUCUUUCUAUAGUAGUUAUGUCUUUAUUAGUAUUCGGAGACAGAUAUUAUUCCUUUGUGGUUAUUUUCUGAUGUAUUUGACUAUCGGAUUGUAUUAGUAGUUCUUACGCUAUUGAUACCUGAUUUUGGGCAUGAUUGGUAUAUUUUAUAAGUUCUUUCUAAAUUGUUAUGAUUACUUAUAUGGUUCGGCUUCGUUCUAGAAGCCUUACCUUGGGAUGUUUCUGUCUUUUCCUCUUUUUGUAUCAGUUUGGGUUAUAGUCUUACUUGUCAAGGUACACCGCGACAAGUGCCAUCAUGACCCUCGCUUUUGGGUCAUAAUAAAUUGGCAUCAGAGGAGCCAUUUUUCAUUGGUCUCAAUGGUGUUAGAACGGAAUGUCUAAUAGAGUCUCAUGGAUCGGUACGUAGACGUCCAUAUCUAUAUUCGAGAUGCUAUAGGAUGUCUUUAGGAAACUUUUAUUAUUUUAUUCUUUAUCGAGUGAAGUUCUUUAAUACCUUGUAUUUUGAGUUGUGUUUCGCGAAUGGUGUGGCUUAUACUGCUAUCAAUUAAGAGAUGCUGCGAGAGAUUAGUGGAGAUUAUUUGUCAAUUAUAGGUCUGUUGAUGCUCCUGAGUUGUCAUGGGAUCAGUUUGCUAAUGCUUUUCUGGAGAGAUUCGUUCCUUAUAAUUUGAGGGAUCGGAUGUAGGACGAGUUUGAUCAUUUGGAGCAGGGCUACAUGAUAGUUGUGGAGUAUAAGGCAUGCUUCCAUGCCCUGUCCAGAUAUUUCAAUGGUAGUAUUUCCAUUGAGUCUGAGAAGGUUCAAAAGUUUGUGAAGGGUUUGGAGGUUUUUUCUUCAGUUGGCUACAUCUCAAAUGGUUGUGUUUGGGACUUCUUUUUAGAGUAUUAUGGAUCAUGCUAAGAUGAUAGGAGAUAUUCUUAGUGUAUCUUAGGGAGGCGCAAUAUUUUGGUGAGUUCAGGAGGCGGACCUAUCGAGGUAGAGAUUUUAGAGGUUCUCAUGGAUACCAUGGUAGGCCAGUAGCGGCUUUAUAAAGUUCAGGUGGUGGAUCUUUUAGUUCUAUAGUUUAGGGUUGUUGUUCGAGCCCAAUUGUACCUUUUUUGUUGAGACUGUUUAUAGAGGUUGUUAUAUGUGUGAUAAGAUUGGCCAUGUAGGCAAAGACUAUCCCUAUUGGGUAAUUCAGGCUACUCCUAUUUCAGCUGUGAGAGGUAGAGGUUCUACCAAAGGUGCAAGAGGUAAAUAUGGUGGAGCCCGUGGUGGUGGUCGUGGGGCCACCCAAGCAGUUGGUGAUCGUGGUUAGUGUUAUGCUAUACCAGCCAGACCUGAGGUAGAGACUUUUGAUGUUAUAAUUACAGGUAUCAUUCUCUUUUGUUUUAGACCUACAUCUUUAUUAUUUGAUCAUGGAUCGACUUUUUCUUAUCUGUUUGUGUAUUUUUCUUCGGGUUUUGAUUCUGUUAGUGAGCCUCUUUCCGUGUCUAUUCGUGUAUCUACCCAGUAGGUGAUUCUUUAGUGGUGAAUCGGGUGCACCGAUCUUGUGUUAUGACUUUUGCUGGGCGUGAGACUUUGGUAGACUUGUUUGUAUUAGACAUGGUCAAUUUUGAUGUUAUUUUGGGUAUGAAUUAGUUGGCUCCUUAUCAUGAUGUCUUAGAUUAUUUUGAUAAGAUUAUGACUUUAGCUUCACAGGGUGUGCCAAGGAUAGCUUGGAAGAGUUCACUUCAUUCGGGUCCUAAUAGGAUUAUAUCUUAUGUUCAGGCAUGUAAAUUGGUUGAGAGGGGAUAUUUAUAUUACUUGGCUCAUAUUCGUGACACCAGUGUUGUUUCGCUUUCUUUUUUGGAUUCUGUCUGUAUUGUCCGUGAGUUUAUGGACGUGUUUCCUACGGACUUGCCUAGUAUGCCUCUAGAUCGAGAUAUUAAUUUUGCUAUUGAUGUUGAGCCGGGCAACAAGUCCAUUUCUGUUCCUCCUUAUAGGAUGGCCCCAACAGAGUUGAAAAAACUGACGAAUCAGUUACAAGAGUUGUGGAUAAGGGAUUUAUCCAACCAAGUGUUUCACCUUGGGGUGUGCCUAUCUUGUUUGUGGAGAAAAAGAAUGGGUUUGUACAAACGUGUAUUGAUUAUCGGCAGUUGAAUAAAGUGAUGGUUAAGAAUAAGUAUCCUCUUUCUCGCAUUAAUGAUUUGUUUGAUCAGCUUCAAGGUGCUGAGUGUUUUCAAGGAUUGAUUUGAGGUUCGUUCAUCACCAAUUGAGGAUUAGAGCUUCGGAUAUUCUGAAGACAACUUUUUAAACUCGAUAUGGUCAUUAUGAGUUCUUGAUCAUGUCCUUCGGGCUGACCAAUGCUCCUGCCGCAUUUAUGGAGUUGAUGAACUGGGUAUUUCGAUCAUAUCUCGACGUUUUUUUAUUGUAUUUAUAGAUGAUAUCUUGGUUUAUUCCAAGAGUAAGGUAAAGCAUUUGGAGCAUUUAUGGAUUGUGCUUCAGAGAAUGAAGGAUGAGACGUUGAAUACUAAGUUCUCUAAGUGCGAGUUUUGGUUGGAUCAUGUUUCUUCUUGGAUCAUGUGGCGACUAAGGAAGGUAUUAUGGUUGAUCCAGCCAAGGUUGCAGUGGUUCGUGAUUGGCCUAGACCUACUUCGCCCAUCGAGAUUUGGAGUUUUGUUGGCUUGGCAGGUUAUUAUCGGUGUUUUGUUUAGGGUUUUUUAUCCAUUGCAGCUUCAAUGUACCAUAUAUAGUGAAUGUCUACUUUACCAUAUAUAGUGAAUACCUACUUUGUCAUAUAUUGUGUAUGUCUAUUUAUGGAAAAGUUCCAAACCCCAAGGUUAGUUUUUCCCUAUAAAUAAAGGAGUUUUCCUUCAUUGUAAUUCAUCCUCAAGAGAAAUAAAGAAGUCUCCUCUCUUCUCUCUCUAUUCUUUUUCUUCUUGGCUUUAUAUUUCAUAACAUUUCUCGAGUAGUUAGUAAAAUAACCUAUUUGUUUCAUAGUUUGUCUUACUUUGAUUUAGGUUUAGAGCAUUAGCAGUUCAAGUUUUGUAUUACAUAACUUGGGAUAUACGUACAAUGCACGUUCACAUAGACUAGUAUCUACAAAAAUAUAAAUACAUUGAUAGAAAUAUACAAACAAAUUCCCUUUAUGACUAAAAAUAUUCAAAGAUACAAAUAUACAUUUACUCAUAUCUUCAAGGUAAACACGAAUUGAUAUAAAUUCAAGCGUAUAAAAUGAAUACAAAUUAAUAAUUAUGUGUAUAAAUAUUCACACUCAAAUGUAUAAAUGUAUAUAAAUUCAGAAUGUAUAAAUGAAUUCGAAAUGAAAUCGAUCGAAGAGAGAAAAAAAUAUAAAAAAUAAAUACAAAAAUACAAAUGCACUGAUAAAAAUAUACUAACAAAUUCACUUUAUGACUAAAAUAUUUAGACUACAAACACACAUUUACUCAUCUCUUUAAGAUAACCACGAAUAUAAUUUCAAAUGUAUAAAAUAAAUACAAAUUUAGAUUAUAUGUAUAAAUAUACAAAUUCAAAUGUAUAAAUAUAUACAAAUUCAAAAUAGAUAAAAACAUUCAAAAUGAAAUCGAUUGAAGAGUGAAGAAAUAUAACAAAAUAAAAAUAAAACUACAAACGCAUUGAUAAAAAUAUACAUUGUAUAAAUAUAUUUCAACUAUAUAAACGUCGAGGAUGAUGAAGAGGCAGAUCUGCCCCCAUGGAAUUUCAUUGAAAAGUGAGGCGGUGCGGAUGAGAAAGAGGGGGAUCUGUCCCCAUGGGAUUUUGUCGGAGGAGGCGGCGCGGAAGAUGGGGCCAACAACCUGAAAGAAUCACCACUAUCAUCUCUAUCUUAUACAUGUGCCGCCACCUUCACUACUGCGUCGUCAUUCUCCAUCACUGUCUGAUACAAAACCAGAAUUGAGUUGUACAUCAAGCUUGUUAAAGAGCACCUGAUUGUUAAUUGAUAAAUUAGUUGGUUCGUUUGAGCUUUGUCUAAGUAAUGCUUUUAAGUUUUGUUGUUUACAAUUAAGUCCCUAAGCAAUUAAUAUUCCAGCACUUUAGGUCCUUGUCAGAAUUAGGACUCUGACAGUACUAUCCUAGAUAGAGUCUAAGAAUUAGUGGAGUUUUUAUAUUGUACCAAUUGCAGUGGAAGGAAUCAUCAAUGAAACUAUCAUCUUUUAUCUUUUUAGCUUAACUUCUUCAUUUUCUCUUUUCUUCUCAUCGUUUCUUGGCUAGCAAGCUUUCAUCACUAUUCCAUUGUUAUUUUUGCACUUGAAUCUUUCUAUUUUAUAUUAUUUGGUAUCAGAGAACUUUCCUAAGGCUCUGUGGGAGCAACAAUGGCUGGAGAGUUUAAGGAAAUUAAAGAGGUGUUAGAGAGGAUGACAAGGGAUAUGGCUAACUUCACUAUGAUGCAAAAUCAGAUGGAGGAACAACAUGAGAAGACCAUUGCUAGCUUGAAGGAAGCAAUUGAGGCUACCUAUAGGAGUGACAAGGAGAAGGGAGCCACUACCAUAGAUGGGGGAGGUGAGAUCUACACACUUUCUGGAAGCCCUCUGGUCUGGGCAACUUCAGUCACCACUUCUGCUCCACCCCUUCUCCAAACACCUGGAGGUUACACUGCUGGACCAAGUGUGUACCAACAAUACUCUUUACCAGGACCUCCUCAAUUUGAAUCAGCGCUCAGCUACAUGGGAGGACAGGCUUUUCAACAGCCUUUUUACCUGUAAUCUGGACCUAUUUCAUCUUACAACCAAGAGGAAGGGGGAAUCCAUCAAGCAAGGGGUGGAUUUUAUCAUAAUAGAGGGCAAUAACAAGGAGCACCCUUAUUUAUAGGGUCCAUGACUCGACUGACUAAGGUAGAGUUUCCAAGGUUUAAUGGUACACACCUAAGGACAUGGAUGUAUAAGGCUGAGCAAUUCUUUUCAUAUGAUAAAACUAUCCAUGGGCAAAAGUUAAGAAUUGCGGCAUUACACUUUGACAGUUUGGCUAUUGAAUGGCAUUUAUCUUACUUGAAGAGUAGGGGUCAGCUACCCUUUUCCUCUUGGAAAGAAUACUUAUAUGCUUUGAUGGAUAGGUUUGGGGGUGAGUAUGACGAUGUCAUGGCUGAGUUUAAACUAGUUAGACAAAUAGGCACUGUCAAGGAAUAUCACGAGGAGUUUGAUAAAAUAAUGGCAAGAUUGGUCAUUGCACCUAAGCAUACUAUUGUGGGUUCAUCAAUGGACUCAAACCUGAGAUUGGGUUUGUUGUUAAAUCCCACAGACCAUGCACUUUACAUCAUGUUUAUCAGUUAGCCAAGAAUGUUGAAUCCCAGAUAAUGGCUUAAUUGAAGUUGACAAAGCAUACUACACAUAGUGGAGGAGGCCAAUAUGUCAAGAAUACUGGUUAUAGUGGAGCAUUCAAGAGAUCAGAAAGUAGUAAAGAAGGGGGCAUAUUCAGAAAAAAAGGACCUAUUAAUCUUAACAGGGGCAGAAGUCUUUCACAGAUUGAAAUGAAUGAGAAAAGGCUGAAGGGGUUGUAUUUUUUUGUGAUGAAAAGUUCGUACCAGGUCAUAAGUGUAUAAACUGGAGUCAGUUACAUUUAGUAGAGCUUGGUGAUGAUUAGGUAAUUAAAGUGGAAGAAGUAGGAGAAGAACCUCAACCUCAGGUUGAGAAUGAAGUAGAACAUGAAAAAGUUGCAGAGGGGAGCAGGGAGGUCUGUGAGAUUUUCUUCAAUGCUUUAAAUGGAGUGGCUGGAUAUCAUGCACUGAGAGUUAAUGGUUACUGUGACUAGUAUCCUAUCAACAUCUUGAUAAACCCUGGCAGUACAUACAACUUCAUGGAGGUAGAAUUGGCUAAGAAGUUAGGGGGUGAUAUACAAAUGGUGAAGCCUCAGCUGAUUAAUGUAGCUGGUGGAGGAGUAAGACAAACCACUGAAGCUUGUGGUUUUACCUAGUUGUUAGGUGGCACAACCUUCAGUGAUGAAUUCGUGCUCAUACCCCUAGGGUCAUGUGAUAUGAUCCUAGGAGUACAGUGGCUUAAACCUCUUGGUGAUCUGUACUUCAAUUUUUAGAAGUUAUAGAUGAGGUUUCGACAUCAAGGUAAGGAAUGUUUGCUAAGGGGACAACUUGACAAGGUGAAGACUAUAGAAUCUAAGAAGCUGGUUAAGCUGGCUGAUAAUGGACAUCAACUUUUCAUGAUAAGAGUUAUGCAGAAGGAAGUGGAGAACAAGGGUGAAGAACAUGGGGAUCAUCCCUUGAUUUUAGAUCUCACUAAGCAAUUUGACAAGGUGUUUUUAGAACCUGUUGGACUACCCCCUACAAGAGGCCAUUUUGAUAAUAGGAUACCCUUGCAUCAGAAUGUCAAUCCAAUCAACUCCAGACCAUACAAAUAUUUCUCAUAACAGAAGGAUAUGAUAGAUAAGUUGGUGCAGGAAAUGCUUAAUCAAGAGAUUAUUCAACCUAGUUGCAGUACAUAUGCAUCUCCUAUGGUGCUUGUAGGCAAAAAAGAUGGGUCAUGAAGGCUUUGUGUAGAUUAUAGAGCUCUCAACAAGGUCACUAUUAAGGGCAAAUUUCCCAUUCCCAUCAUUGAGGAGUUGUUGGAUGAGUUGGGUGGUUCAAAGAUUUACUCUAAAAUAGAUCUUAGAUCAGGUUAUCUCCAAAUAAGAAUGGCAGAUGGAGAUAUUCAGAAAACAGCUUUCAAGACUCAUGCAGGGCAUUAUGAGUACAUGGUCAUGCCAUUUCGCCUCACUAAUGCUCCUUCCAGUUUCCAAAGUUUAAUGAACCAUGUGUUUAAGGCAUACCUAAGGAAGUUUAUACUAGUUUUCUUUGAAGUGCAUUAAAGGGGAGGACGGUACAGUGUUGGUAGAGGACGGGCACAUUAAGAAUAGAUGGCAGUCGUAUUUUCAUAGGCUCUUAAAUGACGAAGGGGAUAGAGCUAUUGGGUUAGGGGAGCUGGAGCACUCAGAGGAGUGUCGAAAUUUUAGUUAUUGUAGACGUUUUAAGGUAGAGGAGGUUAGAGAGGUUGUUCGCAGGAUGCGAAGGGGUAGGGCGACGGGGCCUGAUGAGAUACUUGUAGAUUUUUGGAAGUUUUCUGGCGAGGCUGGUUUAAGGUGGUUGAUUGGAUUGUUUAACAAAAUUUUCAAAACAAUGAAAAUGCUCGAGGAUUGGAGGUGGAGUACUAUGAUCCCUCUUUAUAAGAACAAAGGUGACAUUCAGAGUUGCAAUAACUAUAGGGGUAUUAAGUUAUUGAGUCACUCUAUGAAGAUUUGGGAGAGAGUCGUCGAGGUGAGGCUGAGACGGAUAGUGUCUAUUUCAGAGAAUCAGUUUAGAUUUAUGCCUGGUCGCUCGACGAUGGAGGCAAUUCACCUGGUACGGAGGCUGUUGGAACAAUAUAGGGAAAAAAAGGACCUGCACAUGGUGUUUAUCGACUUGGAGAAAGCAUACGACAAAGUCCCCAGGGAGGUGCUUUGGAGAUGCUUGGAGGUGAGUAGAGUGACAGGGACCCUAUAUUUGUUAGCAGAUUUUGGCAGGAGCUAUUUGUUAUGCAGGGAGCUACUCUAAGCACAUUCACAACAUACCACCCUCAAUCAGAUAGUCAAACUGAGGUGGUUAACAGAACAUUAGAGACAUACUUAAGGUGUUAUUACUUAGAUAACCAAUAUGAUUGGGUGGUGUACUUACCUCUAGAAGAGUAGUAGUACAAUACCAUAUUCUAUUCCGCUAUCCAGACAAGUCCCUAUGAAGCUUUGUAUGGACAAAACCCCCCUAUGCAUUUGCCUUAUUUUCCUGGGGAGUCUAUAGAUGAAGAAGUAAAUAGGAGCCUGGUUACUAGAGAGUUUAAGACUCAACUGCUGAAGUUUCAUAUAGCCCGAGCUCAGCAAAGAAUGGUGAAUUUAGCCAACAGAGGUCAGAGUGAUAGACAAUUUCAAGUAGGAGAUUGGGUUUACUUAAAGAUCCAACCUUACCGGCAGUUAUCUCUCUCAAACCAGCCUUUCAAAAAGCUAUCAGCUAAGUACUAUAGCCCUUGCCAAGUGUUGCAGAAGGUUGGUACUGUGGCAUAUAAACUUUCCUUACCUGAUUAUGUAGCUCUACGUGCCACAUUUCAUGUUUCUUAAUUCAAACCAUGCUAUGAGGUACCUAGUUCCUUCAAUCACCCCCAGUGAUUGAUAUAGCUAGUCCAUUUUGUGUGGAACCAGAGAAGAUUUUAGAAAUGAGAAUGAUAAAGAAAGGGAACAAAGCUGUAGCUCAGGUGCUCAUUCAGUGGCAAGGCAUGCCUGUUAAACAAGCAACAUGGGAAGAUUAUGCAACCUUAAAGAUCAGGUCUCCUCAAUUCCUUCCUUGAGGACAAAGAAGCUUUUUAAGGAAAAUGAUACAAAACCGGAAUUGAGUUUUACAUCAAGCUUGUUUAAGAGCACCUGAUUGUUAGUUGAUAAAUUAGUUGGUUAGUUUGAGCUUUGUCUAAGUAAUGCUAUUAAGUUUUGUUGUUUACAAUUAAGUCCCUAAGCAAUUAAUAUUCCAGCACUUUAGGUCCUUGUCAGAAUUAAAACUCUGAUAGUACUAUCCUAGCUAGAGUCCAAGAAUUAGUGGUCUCUUUAUAUUGUACCAAUUGUAGUAGAAGAAAUCAUCAAUGAAACUAUCAUCUAUUAUCUUUUAGCUUAACUUCUUCAUUUUCUCUUUUCUUCUUAUCCUUUCUUUGUUAGCAAACUUUCAUCACUGUUCCAUUGCCAUUUUUGCACUUGAAUCUUCCUAUUUUGUAUUAUUGUCGAACUCCACCAUAAAAUCGCAGCCUCACCCUUUCCUUCUUCUUAUACUUCGCCUCUCCACCUUGCCUGCUGAAAUUUGUAGCCUUAUUAAGAUCUAUCUCCUCCAAAAAAAACUAACAAAUCCAUCAUCAUCUCUUGUGAAUAUGUGUAGCUUUAUGGUGAGAUUUAUCCGGGAUCGAAAAAAAAAAAGGAAGAAGAAAGAGAGAGCAAAGUGGAGUUAAGAAAAGGAAGGCCAUUGCCUAAUUUUAAAUUAGGUGAGAGAGUACUUUUUGCCUAAUUUAAAAUAAGGGAAAGGAUAGAAACUUCACUUCAAAUUAAACUAUUUUUGUGAAAAUGGUCAUGGAAUUUAAAUUUCACUUUCUAGCCAUUUUAAUUUACUGGCUUGUUCUAUACCAUUUCUACACACCUUAUAUACAGUUACUAUACAAAUCUUAUACAUAUAAAUAUUUUAUACGAAAAUUAUAUAGUUUUGAUACACAAUUUAUACCAUAACUAUACAUUUUUUUUUACACAUUUUAUACAACAAUUAUAUAUUUUUCAUACACUUUCUAUAUAUUUUAUACAUAUACAUAUUUGAUAGAACUAUACAAUUUCUAUACAUAUAUCUUAUAUAGAUACAUAUUCGAUUUAACAAUUAUAUCGAUUUUAUAUAAUUUAAUUAUUAUUUCUAAACAAUAAAAAAUAAGCAAAAUAUUUGAUCAGUUAAAAAAUUUAUAUAAAAAAAAAUUAAAAUAUUUUUAAAAAGGUCGAAUUGCCCAAGUUGAAACUGUCUCAAUAUUGUAUAUAGACUAUAUCAGUAUUGUAUAAGAACUAUAUAGGCCAAAAUGACCCAAAUUAGAAAAUGACUAUAAAGCGGAAAUAGUAUAUCCGACUGGCCACUUUUUGAAAAGUUUUCAAACUUGGGUUAUUUGUUUUAAAAAGUGCUAGAUAGUGUCCUUUUCCCUUACAAUAAAUCGAUAUAUAUUCUAUUUCAUUUAUAUAUGCGGGCCCACAUAAAUAAUAGUAAUUCCAACUAACUUUUAACCAUGUAAAGUACUUAAAGAACUUAUUUUAUGCGUAAUUUUUCUUUUGUUAACCGGCGUGAUACUGUUCACUUUUGUGUCUUGAGUAACAGACUCAUUUUUUAUUUCAGCUAUUACUGAUAGUUUUUUUGAUAACCUUGUGUUUGAACCAGCUUACACGCACAGUUUUUUUUUGAUAACCAUGUAGUUAAACCAGCUUACACGUACCUCGACUAAUUUUUUAAUUUAAAAUAUAGUGAUAUAUAUGCUACUCCAUUUAUGCAUACAGGCCCACAUAAAUAACAGUUAUCCCAACUAAUUUUAACCAUGUAAAAUAAUUAAAAACUUAUUUUAUCUAUGGAGCGUAAAUAACAUAAAUACCAACUCUUUUGAAAAUAAUUACUCUCUCCCACUUUUUUAAUUACUUUGCUCUCUCUCCCUAUUAAUAUAUAUCACAUAGCCGACAUAUACAUAGCAUUUUGUGUAUAUAUUGAGAUUUUUAUAAUAUAUUUAAGAGAGUUGGGAUGUUAUGUAAUAUUGAAAACAUAAGUUGUGUAUUUGUGUAAUUUUCAAUUAACCAGCAACUCGUGAUAUCAUUGUUCACUUUUGUGUCUUGAGAAACGGAUCAUUUUUUAUUCAGCUAUUACUGAUAGUUUUUUUUUAUAACCGCAGUGUUCGGAUCAGCUUGCGCGCACCUCAAUUAAAUCUGUCACAUCCCACCACCAGCAGCACACCUCGAUUAAAUCUCUGCCACCUCCCACCGGCAACAGGUACCAACUAACUCUGUCUACCAAGAGUAGAAUAGAUGGAGCUAGCUAUUACUGAUAGUUCCUAAAUCUAUUCAACACAAGACUCUCCUUCGAUAGUAAUUUGACAGAUAAAAUGGGUAUUGAAUGGGGUUAUUUAAAGAUGGCUUUUGAUAUACUGUACCCUUCUAGAUAGUGCAUUGACAUUAGAGGCCCAGAGAACGGUUUCCAAAGCGAAGCUGCCUGCUAAAAAAAAAUAAAUGCUUAGUUACUUCUAUGACUCCUUUUUUGGUUAAUGGAGCUGAGGAGUUGAAAAAGACAAUGAUGUUUAAAUCUCAUUACUCAUUAGUACUGAGUAAUUUCUUCCUUAUUCUUCUUCUCCAUCAAUCUUCAUUAGCUACCCAGUUCUAUGCAUGCUGUUGACAAACUUUUGGUUUUGAUUUAGACUUGUCAACAUACUUGCGAUGGUGACAUCAAUUUCUAUUGGCCAGUUCAUUAUGCACUGUCAUGACACCAGUCCACAGCACAUAAGCCAUAUAUACACAAAACUGUAGAGUGCAUGCAAAACUACUCACUGAGCUAGAAACCUGUUCUUGUUUGCAAAUUCCACAUUAUGCCUCUCUAAUCACCCUUAGUUAUUCCAAAUUUUCAGAAUUCUUUGUACUUUUGCAACCAAUUUAUAGGUGUAGCAGAUCCCGUAACAGUAUGAGGUCACAGAGAAGACCAAGAUAAAUCAAACAGCACACCCAUGACAUAAAUGGCUGCACCUCCCCACGUUGUUAAGUGCUCCAACCAUUUAUAUAAUUGACCUCAGAAAAUGGCGGUAUCCUCCCAUUUUAAAAACAAAGGACAACGGACAGCCAUAGAUUUGUCAAUUGGUAAGUAUCAUAAGAAAUUGACACAAAACAUCCUUACGAAGAAAUAGGAAUCACAAAGCAUAAAGAAAUACACAUAGCAAGAGCAAGCAUAUCCAUUUUCCACAGAGAACACUCAGUUUAACCAGGAAAACAACAUCCAUGAAUCUAGACAUGACAAGAACCAAAGUUGUUAAAGAAAACGGUCAAAAGAAAAAGGCUCAUGUACAUGACCACUUUUAGGACGCAAAAGUGAGGUCCAAAAGGUCCCCC